rnacentral:lncRNA from 1 species
GAUUAAUUUUAAGAAUUUGAUAUGGACAUAAGUAAAAGGACUUCAAACAAAAAUUUAAAACUAAAAAUGUUUUAAUCAAGAAAUAUUAGUGACUAGGGACCGGACCUAAUUAUCCCCAUUUUUAAUCUCAUGACCCAUUUUAACUCAAAACAAGUUGAUUUAAGCUAGAAAAGAAAAGGCAUAUAUGUAAGAAUUUGGGUAGACACAAUCAUUAUGUUGAUAGAACUGUAUUAAGUAAGUUAAUAGAGUUUUGUAACGCUAAGUUAUACGAAACAUUCAAAACAAUAAUGUUGAGAAUUUAUUGCAAUUAAUUACAAGUUAUUGAGAGACCUAUUGUACUCCUAAUAGGUGGAUAUCCAUGGGCUAAUGUGAUUAUGAAAAGGUUCUAUAAGAUGCAACCUCACCAAAACCUCUUGUUAAUAUCUUUUAUCUUAUGACCCAUUUUUUAGCCCAAAAGCUAGUUGAUUUGAGCUAGAGGAAGAAGAGGCGUACCUCUUUACAUAGCUUUGAAUUUCCAGGCAUCAUUUGUCUCAGUUGAUUUUCAGUAUUAUACUCAUCCAACACGUCAUCGGCUUCAUAGACUGCUUCUUCUACGCUUUGGAGCCACUCUUUGACUUCAUUGUUGGCUUGCUUUUGCUCAGCGUCAAGAAGAACAGCUUGAAAUCCGGCAACUGUCACCUUGAGCUUCUGGAACUCAUCACGGGCACCCCAAAUCAAUCCAAUCUCUUGGGAAGCAAGGGGGCCUAGCCUCUCAAUGAUCCCUCCGGCAACGUUGAAGAGAACUCCUUCCGCCAUUUCUUGGAUUCAGGACAAGAAAAACACAAGUGAAGUGAAGUAGAAGCUUGUAAGUGAGAAAAUGAUUUUGCGUAGUGAAAGAUGGCUCCUCCUGCUAGUCUUUAUAUGCCGACACUUACAUAUAAUUCCAUGUAUAAAAUGAUCAUUCCACUCAAUAAUUGAACUACUUUAGUCUAGUGGCUUAAUAAAGUAUUGAUCGAUUACAAUCAGACAAAUGGGAAAACUCAAUCAUUCAAUUUAGUGAGGGAAAUUUUAUUUAAACACAUAUAACUUUUUUCCACAUUCAACUUAUUCUCUACAUCUAUAUUAAUUUCAAUUAAACUAUCAAUAUCUCCUUAAACUCAAAUAUCUACCUAAACCCAAUUCAAUAUAUAAAUUUAUCUUUACACCCAUUCAAAAAAUAAACCCAAAAUCAGUUGGAGACAGCUCUAUUUUUGAAAUUAUUUUCAUGUCUGAUUCUUAAGUGUGCGAACCUGCUACUCCAAUAUUUCUCAAGAAGAAAGUGCCCAUGCAGGAUGGUGAUCCUUUUCUCUUUUUUCUCGCUAGAGUCGAAAAUAUAGUCACAAUGAUAUACAUUGUUCUCAUUUGUAUAGGACGGAUGAUACUCGUUAUCAUCAAUGUCCCAAUCUUCUUCUGUUUUAAUGCCACGCAAGAACCAUAUUUGCUUAAUGCAUCAAUCAUAUGCUAUCUGUUGAGUUCAUGUUCAUUGGUUUAAACUAUUCUUGAAUAUAUAUCAUAGCAGAACUCAAGGGCUUUAUCAAAGCCGUAUUUGCUAUAUUUCAAGUUGUUAGAAGUAAGAACAAUUUUGCUAAUUAUCACUAUGUUCCGGAUUUGGACUUCACUUUUGGAGAUGAAUCCUUUCGCAUUGGUUGAUGGAUGACACAACUGCUUUCAAGAACUUCAAAAAGUACAUUUCUUCACUCCGGUUGUUUUUACCUUAUAUGUUUUUCUUAUGUAUAUGCCAAGCUAUUCACUAGCGUUUUAGCUUCAGUAUUUUUAUGUUUCAGUUGGUGGCAGUAUUGAAUUCCUAAUGCCUUUUGGAAGAGUUAUGAGUCCUAUAGAGAAAUUUAUUCACGGGUUAACAAAGACCUUCUUUGCACGCAAUAUACUUUUAAACUCUAAAAAAAAUUAAAAAAAAUGUGCAUAAAUCGAUUUAUAUCUUAGUUGAAGGAUUUGGAACUUCAAAAUUAUCAUCCAUUAGUCAAAAUGAACAUAUGAUAAAGAUUGAGUGAUGGUAAAGUUUGAUUAUUGAGUAUGGGUUUAUUGAUAACCUUUAGUUUUAUUAUUAAUUUCUUCUUCUACUUAAUGGUAAUUAUGCAAUAGUAAAAAUGACAAUUAACAAUUAAAAUAUAAGUUAGGUGUAGAGUGAAACUAUGUAGGUUCAAAUAAAAUUUCUCUUAGUCUAAUAAAUUAUUAGCUAGUGCUGUAGUUAAAGCUUGUGUCGUGGGGAGUGGACCCGUAAGAAAACGCAAUUACAACAAUCAUGGUUUUGUUUGUGUCUUCCACUAAUGACGGGAUUUGAUUUCCAGCACAUGUUCUCUCUCCCACACGCUACUAUAUACCCGCCAUUAGACUACACCCCAACACUGCACGUUUCUACCAUUAGCGCAUUUGUAAACCUAGCACUGCACGUUUCUACACCCAACACUUUCAAAUAGAAGCAAUCAGUCCAAUUUUUCACUACUAAUUUAUUCAUCGAUCCUCACAUUUAUUGUGUAAUUAAUAACUAAUAAUUAUAUAUUGUAUUGUUUUUUAUGUUUGAGCAACUGAGAAAAUUAACCUACUCCAACUUCUGAAGCUUUCUUUCAGCUGAGAAGAUUUGAUCUACUCUAAUUUCUAGUUUCAAAAUGAGGGUUGAGAAAAAACAAAUAAUAAUAAUGCUACUCUUUUGCUAAGUGUCUUCAUCUCAUAAGGUGUAAGAUGAAAUGCUAAAAUUGCUUGAUAUAAGCUUGAAUACUGCCAAAACUACGUAACCAUUAGAAGACUACCAGUGAAACAACAUUGUAUACUAAAAGUAAAGGGAUGAUGAGAUAUCAUAAUGUUCAUUUAUGUUGAUAAUAUAAUAUACACUAGGAGCUGCAAAGAAUUAAUGGAUGAAUUUAAAUUAGUUUCCAGAAUCUACAAUAAAAGUGAUGAGAUAUUAGUAUUAUUAUUAUUAUUGUUAUUAUAGAUUGGUUUCUAGAAUUUUAGUUUAUUUAUCAGAUGCUAUGAAAUUAGCCUGAGGCCAUCAUACAAAUGGAAGCAAGUACUCUGAAGGCUCUCCAUUUUUAAUGUCCUUCUCAGAGGACAAAGGCUAAAAAUAAAUGUUUUAAAGUAAAUUUCAAAAAACUCUAAUAAUCUCACACAAUUCGAAUACUUUUUUUUCUCCAUCUCGCAACUUUCUCUUGGAGUCUUGAUUUUCAUGAGUAUAAUCACUGAUUUUGAGUGAACUCCACCUAUUUUUUCACUCUUAAAAAGUUAUUAAAUGAUCAAACUGUGGAAUCAAAUUCUAUUUUUUCACUCCCAUUCCACUUUAGUAAACAUACAAAAUACAAAUAUACCAUUCCGAAGAAAUUUCAAAUUUAAAUUUUGGUUCUCCAAUUAAUUAAACAAAAUUAUAACCAACUUUUUCACAAGUUCUGAACGGUUACAAUCAGACAAUUAAUUUACAGACCAUCUUAUGUGGCCCCACUAACAUGUUAACACCUGUAAUAUAAGAUUAUCACCAAACACCAUCCUAUCUUGCCAACCAAACAUCCUCCACUUCCUUUGAACCUAUAACCAAACAUCAUGCUUCAUCCUUCACCUCCCAAACUGCCAUGCAAGGAAGAAAAUAUCGGUAAUAUCGGAAAUAUCGGUAGUCCGAAAACACGGAAAUAUCGAUGGAAAUAUCGGGAUAAUAUCGAUAUCGAUAAAAAUUACAUGGAAACCACGGAAAUUGUAAGAAAAACUUGGAAAUUUUUAAUGAAACUUUGUAGGAUGUUUAUUUAGUCAAUUAUCUAUUAGUUUAUCACAAAAAAUUGGAAGGAAAUGCAUUGCAUGAUGGAUUUAACUGAUUUAAGUUGAUUAUAUAGCGAGCUGGCAAACAUUGUGAGUGUAGAAAAUAUGUAGUAAUUAAUGAAAGAAGUUUAAACACACCAUAAUCAUUUAUAUAUAAUUAAUUAGUACAAUAUUUGGAGGUUUUAUUUAGGAUAUUAAAAAAAAAAAAAGGGAAGUGAAUAAAAUGAUGAAGAAUAAUGUGCCGAAUUUGACAAUUUAAAUUUCUUACACAUAAGCAUGCGUCUAGGCGUUGAAGUUCCAAAUUAUAGUAUAUCAAUUAACGAUUGAAAAUCAAUACAUUGAAUAAGAUUAAACUUUAAUUUGGAUGCCGAUUAUGUUUUUUCAAACUUGAUAUAAAGUAAAAAGUAUUGAAUUUUUGGAAGCUAGGAGUGUGUCAAUUGAAUUUUGGCUGACGUGCAAGGUAUCAAUCUCUUCGUCUCUUCGAGGGCUACAACUUUCCUUUUUGUUUCACUCAAUUUCGUUGCGUAUUGAAAAAGUUAUACUCAUUUGAAUCUUACCCAGUUUCCGGCGACCUCAGUAGAUUUCGAGGCAAUUUCCGGCCAAACCACAACGAGUCAGACGUCGUGUGAGGUACCAUUCUCUUCGCGUCUCUUCGAGGGCUACAACUUUCCUUUUUUGUUUCACUCAAUUUCGUUGCGUAUUGAAAAAGUUAUACUCUCAUUUGAAUCUUACCCAGUUUCCGACGACCUCAGCGACCUCAGUGACUUUCGAGGAAUUUUCCGGCCAAACCACUACGAUUCAGACAUCGUGUGAGAUACCAUUCUCUUCGUCUCUUCGAGGGCUACAACUUUUCUUUUUGUUUCACUCAAUUUCGUUGCGUAUUGAAAAAGUUAUACUCAUUUGAAUCUUACCCAGUUUCCGACGACCUCAGCGACCUCAGUGAUUUUCGAGGCAUUUUUCGGCCAAACCACUACGAUUCAGACAUCGUGUGAGGUACCAUUCUCUUCAUCUCUUCGAGGGCUACAACUUUCGUUUUUGUCUUGCUUGAUUUCGUUGAGUUUUGACAAAGUUAUGGCCGUUUAAAGUGGGUGUAAAAUUUCGGCCGAAAUUUUGAUUUUUUCCCCCAUUGGGCGAGUCCCACAUCGCCCAUGCAAGGAAGUGAGCAAUGAAUUUUUCCUAUAAAACUCACACUCCUCUGGUGAGAUAACCAAAACUUGUUUGGCCUUUGGGCCAUGAUCAAGUUAACUAUGUGUUAAGUUUUCUCAACAUAUUUAAGUAUUUAUUUAAUAAAAUAUGUUGAUAUUAUCGAUAAUUUCAAAAAUAUCGCGAUAUUAUCGAUAUUAUCAAUAAUAUCGCGAUAUUUUGACGAAAAUAGGUUGGAUUGUUAAAAAAAUUUCGGAACUUUAAAAAAACGAUAAUAUCGGCGAUAUUUUGCCGAUAUUAUCGAUUUUUUCCUCCUUGCUGCCAUGGCAUAUUUAUCGACGUCGUACACACCGACCCAACGCCAUCACCCCCUCUAAUCUGAUGCCUUCCUCGUCGACCCAACCAACCCACCCCUAUUUCUCACCUCCGUUGACCUUCCUUCGUAACACCCAUAUUAAACCAAUAAAUUUGACCGGCAAAGAGGAGUGGGGUAUCUGAAUAACCAACUCGUCGCCGUCGACGAGGAAUGGAGUGGGGUAUCUGAAUAACCAACUCGUUGCCGUCGAUGAGGAAUGGAGUGCGGUCGCUGUCGAAGUGCACUGGAGUGGGGUCGCCAUAAAAGAGAGGGUUCGACAUGGGUUCGCCGGUGAACAGAGGCGUUAGGGUUGUCGAGGUCGUCGGAGAAGAUAUGGGCGGAGUGGGGUCGCUGGAAAAAGAAGAGAUUGGUGGCGAUCUCGCCGAAGAAAAGAAGGGUUGGGGGUGGGCUUUCCGGAGAAGUGAGGGAUUGGGUUGGUCUCAACGGAGAAGAGAAGGGGGAGAAUGGAGGGGGAUGAGGGUUUCCAGCACAUAGACAGGAAAGAAGAUAGAAGAUGGAUAGUGUUUGGUUACGGAGAUAGUAGGAGUUUGAGAGAGGUUUGAGAGAGAAAUUUCUUUUUUUUUUUGGUAAAAAGAGAGAAUUUUCUUUGACUGGUGUUAAAAUUUUAAUGGGACACGUAGGAUGGUGAACAAAUUGAGUACCACCCGGUGAGGACCCAAGGAUUGUCCGACAAAGAAAGUCAUGAAAUGGGAUCCAUUUGGAACGAGGAAAUUUCAAACCUCAAUCCAAUGUCGAUUUCAAUCAGACAAUGAGGAUCCAAGGGGAUCCUCUUCCGUACUUUUUAUACCCAUUUAGUCUAGUGGUAUAAUAAACUAAAACAUAAUCAUUCUACUUUAGGGGAUUUGAUUUCCAACAAAUGUUAUCUCUCCCACUCCCUGGGGGCCUACACGCUACUGAGAAAAUUAGAUCUACUCCAAUUUCUAGUUUCGGGUUGAGAAAAAAACAAAUAAUGAUAAUACUACUCUUUUGUCAAGUGUCUUUAUCUCAUAAAGUGUAAGAUGAAAUGCUAAUAUUACUUUGAUGUAAGCUUGAAUACUGUCAAAACUGUAUAAUCGUUAAAAGAGUACCAGUGAAGCAACAUUUUACACUAAAAGUAAAGGGGAUGAUGAGAUAUCAUAGUGUUCAUUUAUGUUGAUGAUAUAUCUUCGCUAAGAGAUGCCAAGAAUUCAUGGAUGAAUUUAAAUUGGUUUUUAGAAUCUACACUAAAAGUAAAAGGGAUGCAAGAUAUUAUUAUUAUUAUUAUUUAUUGGUUUCUAGAAUUUCAAUUUAUUUAUAAGAUGUUAUGAAAUUAGCGUGAGGACCAGCAUCCAAAUGGGAAGAAAGCACCCUGAAGAGCUCUCCUUUUUAGAGGAUAUAGGCAAAAAUAAAAGUUUUUGGGUAAAUUUCAGAACUCUCUAGUAAUCUCAUACAAUUCAAAUACUUUAUUUCUCUCCAUCUUGCAACUUUUUCUUGGAGUCAAUAUCUCAUGCCCCCUCAGUAUUAGAAUUAAUGAUUUUUCAUGAGUAUGAUUAUUGAUUUUGAGCGGACUCCGCCUAUAUUUUCAUUCCUAAAAAAAUUAUUAAACUUUUAAAUCGCAGAAUCAAUUGAGAAAGAAUUCAAUUCCCGUUUUUCCACUCCCAUUCCACUUUAGUAAGCAUACCAUUAAUCUAUGAACAUUUUUGUUCGACAAAAUCUUAAAUUUAAAUUCUGGCUCUCCAAUUAAUAAAACAAAAUUAUGAUCGAUUUUUUUUUCACAAGUUCUGAAUGGUUUAACAUAUUGUGACAGCCCGUUCCGAAUUAAAAUAUAUUUUAUCUUUGAAUGCAUAGAAAUGACGAUUUUACCCUCGUAGGGCUUGUGGCGUGGAUAUACGUAAAUAAUUUUAAAUCAUUUUAUGUGGAUGAAAUUAAAUUAUAUUUGAUGCCACGGGAGUAUCGACAUUAAUUAAGGGCCUAGUUGGGUUUGUAGUGGAAAAAUUGUGAAGAAAUAGGGGGAAUUUAGGACCAUUGAAAUUGCCCAAUCCGGGCAUGUACACACACACACCCACACGUGCACCCCAUCUCCUUCUCUCUUUCUUCUUACCCUCUCUCCCCGUCUGUACAACCAAACCCCAUAACCCUUAAACCUCACUUUUCAUCCACAUAUCGAGCUUGAGGACAGUGCUUCCCUUGACCUUACUAGUCGAGCCGUACCGUUGGUUUGAGGAGAAGACCGGUAAAAUCCGAAAUACCCGAGCUUCGGCGAGGUACCCUGUUACUCCGACGUGAUUGUGGACGUUCCACGGUAUUUUAAGGCUCAUAAAGGGUCCUAAACAAUUAUUCUAGGAUCCUGGGUUAGUUUUGGAAUGGUUAGAAUGUCGAAAAUCUUGGAUUUGUCGAGGUUCAAGUUCGGCCGGUUGUGUCGAGUUAUUUUCCGACUGUUUUCCGUCGGUGUUAAAACUUCAAAUUGUUUCUGGCGACGCAGAUGACGGCCAGCGGCGGAGUCCGGCGAACCACCUGAGAAAAAGGAGGAAUAUUCUGUCAACUUUGACGAAAUAUACUUAACGGCGUCAAGUGAGACGUUUUGGGAGGACGAGCGCAGCCAGGCGUGACUCAGGGGUUACAACCCAGCUACAUACCAGUGAAUGGGCUUUUGGUUUUCUAUAUAUACGUAUAUAUGCUUACGUUUUCCCAUAAAUGAAUUUAAAUGGUUUUACGUUUUAAAAUGCGAUGUCAUGUUUGCUUUACAUUUUAGCAUAUGAUUUAGUAUAGCUUUGCAUAAUAUUGCAUGCUAUUGCGGAGGCUAAGGUAAGUUCAGGUAAGUACAUAUUGUUGGUAUGGUUGCACAGUAGUUAGUUAUGAAUCGAUGUGUGUAGAAUUCAUUGUCCUGCAUCCCGGUGUUAGUGCUUCACCCGAAGCCAGGACCUAGCCUUCACGUGAUCGUUCACCUCCCACACCACACGCUCACCUUGGAUCUAAGGCAGGUGCUAGCCUAUCGUACAUACCACAUUAGGUGGUUUCGACUCGUAGGUGACUUGCGAUACUUCGCAUAGCCUUCACUUGAUCGUAGCACUUGAGCAUAUUUAUUUACACCUAACCUGUCGUACAGACCACAUUAGGUGGUUCCAGCUCGUGUGCAGGACUUGACUGAUGAGUUAUAGACUCAGCCGUACAGGUCAUGUUAGGUGACUCCGGUUGAUAUGUCAUUUAUUAUUAAUUCAUUUCACUUGGUUUACUUAUGCAUUGUGGAGAUAAUUGACAUGGCAUACUUGGAGUUUUUACUACUAUCGAGCAUAGUUCUUAUAUAUGUACGUAGUACUAUUUUCUGGGAAACUAUACGGGUUUUAUAGUGAGGGGUUAUUACUUUUGGAAAGAUAAAUUGUUUUGAAAAGCUUUGUUUUCGCCCACUCACAUUUUCUGUUUUGUGCCCCUCCAGGUUCUAGGUAGAAGUUCGUAUUGGUGGCUCACGAGGACUCAUCGGCGGUUCUGACAGACAUCUACCAGUGUAAGGUUUCUAUCAUGUUCUGUAUAAUCAGUAGUUAAACUUCUGGACUGCAUUCUGAUACCUAUGCUCUGAAUAUGUGUGUAUCUACACUCUAAAUACUUUCCCUAGUACUUAUAUACUAUACUAGUGUAAAUUAGUUAGUUGGUUUUUAUUUUAUCCGUAUUUUUAUAUCACGUACAUUUCUGCACAGCGCACAUGGCUGCGUCACCCUCACGUGAUGGCCCGCAUGCCUCGAUCGAGGUCGGGAUGUGUCACACAUUCUAUAUCUUUUCCAAAAUCUAAGGUUAAAAGCCUAAAACCCUCAAUUAUGAGAGUUGAGAUCCUCUUCAGAUCUCUCUUGAAAGGCCCAAACUCCCGAGUCCGGCUAUUCUGGACACAAAAAAGGACAUUUGUUUAUGUCUUCCACCAAUCAGGGGAUUUGUUUACGUCUCCAAUUUCUGACGCUUUCAUUUUUUUUUCAGCUGCAAAAAUUAGAUCCACUCCAAUUUUUCUAGUUUCAAAAUGAGGGUUGAGAAAAAAAAAACAAAUAAUAAUAUUAAUUAGAUUUUAUUUUUCAAUGUUGUUUGCUACAUUAUCGUGUUACUUUAUUAUUAAUAAUACUAAUUUGGUUUUGUAGAUUAAGAUUUUUAAGCGAGAAACAAGUUCAAAAUUCAAUUGAGGUAUGAAUCUUUUUGCUUUUUUGGGCUGUUGAAUUCAUCCUAGCCUUUACUGCAUUUUUUUUUUUUUACCGCUUCUCUCUGCAUGCUUCUAGCUGUUGUGUGUGUGUGUGUGUGUAGUAUUCAAUUGUUUUGCAUUUAUUUUUUGGAGUUUUAACGAAAAGCCCGCGGUACUCUUCACUUUAACGAAAAAUCAUAUUUUUACACUAAAAAGUCAAACCUGAUAUUAUUUACUUUACCCUUUAUUUUGUCUUUGUCGUUAAAACUCAAAGUUUUCAAGCCAUUUUCAUUAGUUUCCUUUUUAUUUUUUCCUUUCAUUUUUACUCAAUUUUUGUACUGUUUCUCCAUGUGUUGCUUCAUGUAUGUUUCUCGAUUGUUUGAGUUUACUCUUUGCCUUCAGUUUUUAUUGAAUUUUUUGACUUUUUGUGCAUGAAAUAAUCUAUUUGUUAUAUGUCAUGGUUAAAGGUUUGGUUUCUUUCUUUUUUCCCUUUUAUCAAAAGAAAACUAAUGAAAAUGGCUUGAAAACUUUAAGUUUUAAUGAUAAUGACAAAAUAAAGGGUAAAGUGAAUAGUACCCAGAUUGACUUUUUAGUGUAAAAAUAUGGUUUUUCGUUAAAGUGAACAGUACCGGGUGUUUUUCGUUAAAGUUCCAUUUUAUCAAUCCUCUCUCUUUACAAUUUAAGUUGAAUUACCAUGGGAUGUACAACAAGGGAGGCUAAAAAGCAGUCUAGCCCCAGGAAAAGGCCAUAAACAAAGAAAGAGACCAGUGCUUAAAAGAGGCUAGCGAUGGUUAAACUUAAAAGAGGCUAAGUAGUCCGAAAGAGAUUUAACAAGACAUAAAACGCAACUUUUGUCCAAAUCCUAGACAUCCCACUAACCCAAAAAAAGUACAAAAUGACAGCUGGCUACUCCAACGUGAUCAACACCUUUGGUUCAUUUUCCACGUUGGUGGAUUACCCUAAGCCCCUCAAAUAAUUAACAAAUCAUCCAAACGUGUUUCACGUUGGUGGGUUAUCCUGAAUCUCUUAAUAAUUAACAAAUAAAUCAGCAUGCUUUCACAGUGCAUCUGCACAUUUUGGUUCCAGGAAGUGAUAAAACUGAAAGUUGAACAAUGUUUUUACAUCAGCUCCACAACAUCAUUAACUUUUGACACCUUCAAUUAUUUUGAAUUAAUAGCACAAUAAUAAAGCUACUUUAAUUUUCUUCUUUGGGAUUACUUUAAUUAUGCAGGCAUCCUUGGUUGCAUUGCCUUAAAAAUGCAUGCAAUCUCGGACACUUAACAAAGUUGCUUACUUUGAUGAGCAAUUUUCCCCCAAAAAAGAAUUGAGUGCAUCAGGCACAGAUCAUGGCCCAUAAAUUAUAAAAAUAGUUACGAAAAACUACAAAAGCAAGUGCCCACUUAAUAUACGUCUAAAUGUGUGUCUAAAAAUUUAAAGGUGUGGUUUACUAAAAAUAAUAAAUAAAUUAAUUAAUUAAAUGUGUGAACAAAAGUUUAAAAUUAUGUGAAAAAGUCUAAAGGUGUCAAAAAAAUAGUAUAAAUGUGUAUGUAAAAGUCUAAAUAUGUGUGUAAACGUCUAAAGCUGUGUGAAAAUAAAGACUUUUGAACACUUAUAUUUUAUGUUGUCGUGUAAAAUCUCUAUAAAAGAGAUGUCUAUGUAUGUUUGUAAUCAAUCACAUUCCAGCAAUACGAAAAUAAAAUAUUUUUGUUAUCAGAAGAAACUUGUUGCUAAUAGUCUGAAAAACAUUCAAACUAAUUUUCUAAAACCAGUGAAACAUAAUUUCACACUAAAAGUAAAGGGGAUGAUGGCAUAUCAUAGUGUUCAUUUAUGUUGAUAAUAUAAUCUACACAAGGAGCUGACAAGAAUUAAUGGAUGAAUAUAAAUUGGUUUCCAGAAUUUAGGCUAAACGUAAAAGGAAUGUUGAGAUAUUAUUAUAAUUAUUAUUAUAGAUUGGUUUCUAGAAUUUCAGUUUAUUUAUCAGAUGCUAUGAAAUUAGCCUGAGGGCUAGCAUCCAAAUGGAAGCAAGUACUGAUGGGCUCCAUUUUUAAUGUCCUCCUCAGAGGACAUAGGCUAAAAGUAAAAGUUUUACGGUAAAUUUCAAAACUCUCUAAUAAUCUCAUGUAAUUUGAAUACUUUUUUUUACUCCAUCUUGCAACUUUCUUUUAGAGUCAAAAUCUCAUAGCACCUAAUGAUAUUUAUUUUUAUUUGUAAGUGAAAGAUUUUAAGUUCGAGUCUCGAUUCUCAAAUUAAUUAAACAAAAUUAUAACUAACUUUUUCACAAGUUCUGAAUGGUAUUCAUAUUGUAUCCCUUUUCCACAAUAUAGGCUUAAACGCCACAAUUACAGGGACAAAGAAAGUCAUAAAUUGGGGUCCAUUUGGAAUGAGGAAAUUUCAAUGCUCAAUCCAAUAUUGACUAGCAGAGAGCAUACACUUUGUGUGUAUGAACAACCGCCCACCUCUUCUCACGUUCUCAUCAAACGAAACUGCUUCAGUUCAUUCAAACUAUCCAAAAAAUAUUAUGAUUUCACUUACCUGUAUGAAAAAAUGAGAGUGGGACAAUUUUUCUUAAUAAGUGCAUAUUUUUUUAUUUUAUGUAAAUAUUUUGAUACAAAAUUACUAUUUUACCCUCCUCAUCUCAACAUUGUGUAUUCAAAAGUGAGAGGCAAAAUUAGAAAAAAUAGGCAAAAAGGUUGAUAAGGUGUAUUCUCUUAAUAAUAGUAUAGAUUACAAUAUGAGGAUUCGAGGGGAUCCUCAUCCGUACUUUUUAAACCCAUUUGCAAUUUUAUUGGUAUUCACAGUUUUAAAUUUACCCAUCGAUCCUCACAAAUUAUGCUAUUAAAUUUAGUACACUACUAGCCUUCACGCACGUGCGUGAGCGCGAAGAAGGUUUUUUUUGAAUCACAGCGCAACAUGCGUGCGUUUUAAAUGUAUUUAUAGACGUAAAUUGACAAAAGGAAAAUUAAAUAUUUGAAGUAAAUGAAUAAUUUUCAAUUAUGCUAGAACAAACCUCUUAUAAACCAAUUAAAAUCGUUGAAUUAACAUAAUAAAAUCAAUUUCUAUAGAAUUUACAUUAGGAAUAGAGAAAAUAAUAUUUAAUAAACAAUUGAUUGAAUCACAUUAUUACUAGCCGAUGUACUAAUUAUUAAAAAAACAAAACAAAAAUUGUACAGGAAAAAGUUAAAUAUUAAAAAACUGUUUAAAACUGUACACUGAAUAGUUAAAUAUUAAAACACUGUUCAUCACUGUAGACUAUAUAGUAAACUAUUAAAACACUGUUUAUAUGACGAAAAUACCCCUGCAUUAUUUGUUGUAUUAUUUUGAAUUACUUUGUUUGGAGGGCAGUUUGGUCCUUGUAGAAGCUGAAACACUGUUCACACUAUUCACCUUUCCUCCGGCUUUCUAUAUAAAAGAUGAAAUUUCUUUGAUUGAAAUCCCAAUCAUUCUCUAGUCGCAUAAUGAACUAAAACGUAAUCAUUCUACUUUAGUCUACAGUAUUUGAUUUCCAAGAAAUGUUCUCUCUCCCACUCCCUGGGCCCACACGCUACUGUGUAUUGCAUUGCGUUUAUGUUUGAGCAACUGAGAAAAUUAGGUGAUCUCCAAUUUCUAGUUUCAAAACGAUGGUUGAGAAAAAAAGAUAAUGAUAAUACUACCCUUUUGUCAAGUGUCUUCAUCUUAUAAGGUGUAAGAUGAAAGACUAAUAUUAUUUUGAUGUAAGCUUGAAUACUGUCAAAACCAUGUAACCAUUAAAACUUAAAAGAGUACUAGUGAAGCAAAAUUAUACAUAUUCUAAAAUCCAACACAAAAAGCACUGUUCAUUAACAGUGAAAGGCCUGUAUUAUAGAUAUGUUUUUUUAUAUCAAAUUUUAAAUUAUCGGUGUUAAUAAAAUUGAUUUGGUUUUCCAGAUCAUAAUUUUUAAGCAACAAAAUCAACCUGCAAAUUCAGUUCGGAUAUGAAUGCUUCUGCUUAUUUAGAUUGUUGAAUUGAUCUUUACCUUUACUAGAUUUUAUUUUUCAAUGUUGUUUGCUACAUCAUCGUGUUACUUUAUUAUUAAUAAUACUAAUUUGGUUUUGUAGAUUAAGAUUUUUAAGCGAGAAUCAAGUUCAAAAUUCAAUUGAGGUACGAGUCUUUUUGCUUAUUUGGGCUGUUGAAUUCAUCCUUGCCUUUACUGCAAUUUUUCUUUUUUACUGUUGUUUGGUACAUUCUGGUAUUGAUUUCAUUGCAAUUUUUCUCUUUGCCUUCAGUUUUUAUUGAAUUUAUUGACGUUUUGUGCACGAGUUAAUCUAUUUGUUAUAUGUCGUGGUUAAAGGUUUGGUUUCUUUCUUUUUUUCUUUUUAUCAAUCCUCUCUAUUUACAAUUUAAGUUGAAUUACCAUGGGAUGUACAACAAAGGAGGCUAAAAAGCAGUCUAGACCCAGGAAAAGGCCAUAAACAAAGCAAGGAAAAAGACCAGUGGUUAAAAAGGCCAAGUAGUCCGAAAGAGACAUAUAAACAAGACAUAAAGCGCAACUUUUGUCCAAAUCCUAGACAUCCCACUAACCCAAAAAAAUAAAAAAUGACAGCUAGCUACUCUAACGUGAUCAACACCUUUGCUUCAUUUUCCACGUUGGUGGGUUACCCACCCUAAGCCCCUCAAAUAAUUAACAAAUCAUUCAAACGUGUUUUAUGUUUGUGGGUUAUCCUGAACCUCUCACUAAUUAACAAAUAAACCAGUAUGCUUUCACAGUGCAUCUACACUGUUUGGUUCCAGGAAGUGAGAAAACUGAAAGUGGAACAAUGCUUUUACAUCAGCUCCCACUAUAUCGUUAACUUUUAGCCCUCAAGUCUUAAUUAAGUUUUUUCUUUGUUAAGUUUUGUCUGCAUAAAAACAAAGUCACCAGCUCCCACUACAUCAUUAACUUUUGACACCUACAAUUAUUUUGAAUUAAUAGCACAUAAUAAAGCUACUUUAAUUUUCUUCUUUGGGAUUAGUUUAAUGAUGCAUGCAUGAUGCAUCCUUGGUAUUUUCUUCUCUGGGAUUACUUUAAUUAUGCAGGCAUCCUUGGUUGCAUUGCCUUAAAAAUGCAUGCAAUCCCGGACACGUAACAAAGUUGCUCACUUUGAUGAGCAAUUUUCCCUAAAAAAAAAUUGAGUGCAUCACAGUCACAGAUCAUGGCCCAUAAAUGAUAAAAACAGUUACGAGAAACUACAAAAGCAAGUGCCCUUUAGUUUACGUCUAAAUGUGUAUGUAAAAGUUUAAAGAUGUGAACAAAAGUUUAAAAUUAUGUGGAAAAGUCUAAAGAUGCGUAAAAAAAAAAAGUAUAAAAGUAUAUGUAAAAGUCUAAAGCUACGUAAAAGUAAAGACUUUUGAACACCUAUGUUUUAUGUUGUUAUGUAAAAUCUCUAUAAAAGAGAUGUCUAUGUACGUUUGUAAUCAAUCACAUUCCAAUAAUAAGAAAAUAAAAUAUUUUUGUUAUUGAAAGAAACUUGCUGCUAAUAGUCUAAAAAACAUUCAGAGGAAGCAGCAUGCUGUUAGAAAAUUAGUCUGAAAGUUUUUCUUACUAUUAGUCUUCCGAUUACAAAAACAUUCUCUUUUUUUAUUGUUGGAAUGGGAUCGAUUACAAACAUACAAUGUUAUCAUUUGUUGUUCGAACUAGAACAAUGUUUCUCCAUAUGUUUUGCAUGUGAAUAGGCCAUUAUAAGAUCAGUACCCCAAUUUUUUGUGUAAAAGGACAAUCUAAUGUUUUCAAAUCUUUUAUCUGCAACUACUGAUGUGAAUCAAGAACUAGGAUGACUGCCAAGGGAGAAUAUCAUAUAUAACCAUCUGUGUAUGUCAAUGACAAAGUGUUUGCUAAUUUUUUUUUUUUUGUAUAAAAUGUAUAAAUCUAGACAUUGGCCUGUAAAAAAUAUUUGCUACAUUAUCUAUACAACCUUCAUUAUCUUUGUGUAAAUAGUAUUAGCAGACACUCACAUAUAUUUCCAUGUAUAAAAUGAAACGAAGACCAGUCAAUAUGUUACUGCUGGUCUUAAUAAUUGAAAGUUGAUUGUUUGCUAGUGCUCUGGUAAAUGGGAAGCCACAAUCAUUCUACUUUAGUCUAGUAAGUAUUGAUUGAUUACAAUCAGACAAAUUGGAAAACUGUUUGGGCUCAAAAUAAUAGUUUGGCCGAGGGUAGGAUCAUUCUCGGCCCGGGAGGCCGUGCGGCGAAAGGGCCAUGGAUCGUUCAGCUCAUGGGCUUCCAAGCCUAGGUCGGUUAAAUCAGAACGCAAGACGAGUCCUAGUACAACAGGGAGUCUCGACGGGAUCAGUAAUCCAGAAAGUGAAUCCGGCUCAGUUAAAGACUAGGUUUGUAGUCCUAGUGAAGAUAGGACUGGUCGAGGUGAUGUUGAUCCGGAGAGGGAAACCUAGUCCGAGUAGGAUUUUAGCUCGGACUCAAGGUCCAGUGCUAUAAAUAAGGGAAGCUGUGCAUCAAGGAGGGCCCUGCAAAUCAAUACAAAAUUGCCCUGCGCAAAUUCUCACAACUUGGGAUUUUUCUUUUUCCUUUUUCGCUGACACAUCUUCCGUUGGCAUCAACAGCACUGUGGAAGCAACCGGUGAUAUCUUAAGUCGGCAUAGAUAGCUCUGUCACCAUAGAAUUAGUCGGUCUCGCAGUAACUUCUGUUGGCAUUAACAACACUGCGGCGAGAACGAUUGGUUACCUAUCCGAGUCUCGGUCGAGAAGGAUUUCUGAAUCCUUAUUAGCCGAGGUCAUCUCAUCAGCCUCCUCGGUGAAGUGAGGUGUUACAAGUGAUUACAUUCGGCACGUUGAAAGCCGAAUUUGAUAUUGAACUUCGUAAAAAUAGUAACCUUGUCUUCAGGUUCGAGAACCCAAGAGGCCGAGACGUGUUCCUUUCUCGGCCGCAAUCGCAAGACGCAGAAGUCAGCCGCACCCAACGCAACAUCAACAAAUUUACUCCUCGGCCGAGCUCGGCAUACGAGUUGGCACGCCCCGCAAUCACCGAAGGACGUAGUUAGCUUAUAGAUUACUCGGCCUGCGCGCCACGUAGGCUUGGUAGUUUCUAGGGUCAACAUUUUGGCACGCCCAGUGGGACCCAGUGCUAAACUACGAAGUUCAUGCCAAUUGAAACACGAUCGGUAAAAAAGAAAACAGCUAUGGGAAAGUCGACAGCCGAUUUGCUGAAUCAAAGCACGGGACAAAGUGUGCCACAGACGCAGAAUCCCCUUAGCGCUGUGACACCUGAGUCCACAAGCGCGACCCGCCGAGAGAGAGAAGUUACUCUCGGCGGUCAGCUCCGCGGUCUAGAAAUCCCUAACAGAAACACCUGCGUUUUCACUGAAGGGAUAGUCGAGCAGACGUUUAGUCGAGGCAUUAACAAGCUGCAUGACGUGAUACUCAGUUCCAAUGAGUGACAAACUAGAUUGCUCGAAAUGCUGGUUAGUAAAGUCAGUGAAAGCAGGCCUUUCGAUCUUCUCCAGCACUUACCACCAGGAAACAAUCCGUUACCAAUUGUACCAGCCGAGCCUAUUCCUGCUCGGCUCAAACCAAUUAACUUGGAAAAAGGAGGAGGGUCGAAUAGUAGGUCAGACGGAACCGACCAGAGAGUCGAGGCAACACCUGUCGAUAUGACCGAAGUCCAGCGGAUGAUCGACUCGGCCAUGAAGAAAGGGCCGAAGUUUCCUAAGUUUAUUCAUCCGUACCCAUCUUACGUGGAAACGUUCGGAUACCCGAAGGGUUUCAAAAUCCCAGAUUUCAGCCUUUUUGCCGGUGAAUCAUCCCUGUCUUCGUUGGAGCAUGUGGCUCGUUUCACCGCGCAAUGCGGGGAUGUUAAUAGUGAUUUCCAUAAGUUACGGCUGUUCAAUUUCUCAUUGACCGGAUCAACAUUUGCCUGGUAUAUCAAUCUUCCUCCUAAUUCCGUCCAAAACUGGGAGGAGUUGGUCGAGAAAUUCCACGAGCAGUUUUAUCGGCCAGGGAUUGAGAUGUCAGUUUCUUCAUUAGCACGGAUGGCUCAAGCGUCUGAUGAGUCACCAAUGGAUUAUCUUACCAGGUUCAAAUCAGCCAGGAAUUGGUGCCGAGUGCCUUUACCUGAGGUCGAAUUUGUCAGGCUUGCUUUGAACGGCCUCGAUGUCGAAUACAAAAAGAAAUUAUUGGGGGAAAACUUUCGGGAUAUGUACGAAUUAGCCCAACAUGUCGAACAAUAUGAUUAUUUGCUCCGCGAGGAAAAGACUUCGAAAGCUCCAACUCGGGGGACGAUUUACAAGAAUCCUACUGUCAAUUAUGCAUCAACUGAGGAUGAAUAUGUUAGUGUGGAUGCAGCUGAGAUAGUGAUAGAUAAGCUAUACGUUUGCAAGGCAUUGACUCAGGUUGAUUCUAGGGAAGUCAAAAGCCGCUCGGCCACGGAAGGAACAUUGAAACCGUCAAAAGUUUACAAUUUUGAUAUUACAAAGGCUGACGUAAUUUUUGACCAACUGUUAUCAGCAAGAAUCAUCAAGCUUCGGCCUGGUCACAACAUUCCCAAGGCCGAAGAGCUUAAAGGAAAGGUGUAUUGCAAGUACCACAAUUCAAGCAAACAUACGACAAACAAUUGCGUCGUGUUUCGCGACAACGUGCAAAGCUGAAUUGAUAACGGCAAACUGAAAUUUCCAGAGAAGAAGAUGAGUGUUAAUACUGAUCCGUUCCCCACGGCAACAGUAAAUAUGGUCGAUACGUACCUACUUAAGGACAAAAGGAAAGGAAAGGCUGAAGUUGUUGCAACGCAAUGCUGGCGAAAUCAGAAUUCUCGGCCACGGUUCAUGGUCGAUUUUCGUGCAAACGAACCACCUACAGCUUUAACAGGACCCGCUAUUGUCAAACCUAUGAUGGAUUAUAGCACCGAUGAAGACAGUGGGACGGCGGUUUUGUGCAGAAAAUGUAGAGCAAAGGUCGACAGUGAGCCAGGGGAGAAGCCCUCUUCGCUUGUAACAGAACGACCUAUGGACGCAACCCGGCAAAAGGUAACUAACGUAGGCCAACAUCAAAGGGUUUUUGAUAGGCUCGGUCCUAAAGUACGGAUGGAAGAGACACCCCCGGUCAAGCGGCGCCUCGAUUUUGAUGCUUCAUUCUAUGACGAUGAUUACUAUAAACGUAAUUCUAGCAGUUCAAAAUCAUCGCGGAGCCAAAAAACCUUCAAACCUCCCGAGCCUAGAGAUCAACGUUGGUAUACAUAUCAUUCUUCGAAAGGUGUUUACACCGCGUUGUCCAAAUCCCAGAAACGUCGGCAUCAAAGGAUAGAUUGCAUGGCCCGCCGACGGGCCGCCCAAGAAACUUCGGUCCUUAAAUGGCGGCCGAAGGACACAAUUGCUACUGAUGAUGAAUGACCACCUCCAGCCAUUAUGACAGAGUUGGUUCAAGGGAAACGGUUGGUCGACCAAGAUGUUGAAACCACGUUUGAAGAGGCCGAUAAACGGAUCAAACUUCUUUUUCGACCAGGGGAGAUGAAGGCACGCCUUGAACAUUUCAGGCAAGAGGCCGAAAGCAAAUUAGCCCCGCCGGCUAUACAAGAACCUUUGAUUAAGAUUCGACGGAAUUUGCACCCCCCGUUCCUUGGGGAGUCUUUGGAAUAUAUGCGCGAAUUCCAUAAGAAACAUUCGGCCAAUGAUCUGUAUGGCUUGCCAAAGGCAUGCCAGGACACCAUUGAUCUAGUCCUGACUUGUCCUGAUGCCGAGCGAAUCAUCCAGAAAACCUCAGACACAGGGCUGAAAGCAAGGUUCCAGCACAUACGAGAAGCUCGUGUCCUUGGAUUUGAAGUCGACCCAUACACUGAUAUUGAUGCAGCCGACCUUCCUUUCUCAAUGGAGGACCUUCAGUAUUUACGAUAUCACUUCGAAGUAUUCUCGGCGAUUUCGCUCUUCGGCCUUACGACCGAUGAAAUAGCACGUGUUGCACGUCUGGAUGCUUAUCUCGACACUAGGGAUGCCCGGCUACGUUACCAGGAGCAGGUCCUGACCCCGAGCACACUGUCGAUCUCAACCUCACAUGAGGUAGGUACACAGACCCAACAAGUUGCCAAAGCAGCACCGCAGGAUCAAACCAUCGAAGAAGGAACAGAAGAGUCUUGUUGUCCAACCUUGACAGCAACAGAGUUCGUGGUUGCCGACCAGACAAGAGAUGAGGAUAGUGAGGAGGGUCCUAACCCGAUGGGCUCGUCAGUCUUGGAUAACAUGGAAAUCAGUAUGGUCCAUGUGUUACCCGCUGAUUUUCAAUCAAGCACGACCCAACCGAAUUUCCUCGAUGGUGACGUAGUCGCUGAAGAAGCCGGCCAUGUUGAUUUUGUAUCUGUUGCUGAAGUUGAAUCAACGACAAAAGCUGACAGUCUAAAGGCGGCUUUGGCCGAAUUGUUUCCUCGUUCAUCAUCGGCCAAACUUCGCCAUUUAAAGCCUUUGUAUGUGACGGCCCAUAUCGAGGGGUAUCCAGUUUCUAAAGUUUUCGUCGACUGUGGAACUACCGUCAAUAUCAUGCCUCUAAACAUCAUGAAGGCCUUACGUCGCUCGACUGACGAGCUUAUUCUGUCAGGGAGCACAGUGAGUAGUUUUGUCGGCGAAAAAUCCCAAACCAAAGGUGUACUUCCGUUAACUGUAAACAUUACCGGUCGCACUCACAUGACCGCCUUUUUCAUGGUUGAUUCCAAAACCGAGUAUAAUGCACUGCUCGGUCGAGACUGGAUUCAUCAAACCAGUUGUAUUCCUUCAUCAUUGUAUCAAGUGCUUGUCUUUUGGGAUGGCAACUCGGUCACUGUUCACCCGGCCGAUAGCCAGCCCUUUGAAGCUAAAAUGAUCCAAGCACGGUAUUAUGAUGACCACGUCGACUACAUUACAUUGCAAGGCUUCAAUGAAGAAGGACGGCCGACUCGGAUUUCGGUUCAGAAAGCUAUCGAGGUUGGUGCCGAGACUGUCCAGCAGGAUUCGGCGAGACUCGGAUUAGCCAAUUUCCUCCCCGAAGCUGAUGUUUGACACCGAUCGGGAAACACGUAGGGCCGCGGUUUCAUCUACUAUGGAACGACUGCUGGCCCAUUGGUAUACUAUAUCCAAACAACCAAAUUCGGGCGUUAACCUCGUCGAGUUCCUUACCGAAGGAGAUAAUGGUCCUGUCUUGUCUCUUGAUAAAAUUCAAGCCGCCCCGGCCGAACUCGAAGAUCAUCGGCCCCAAGUUAAGGACCCCUUGGAAGAGAUUAAUAUUGGGAUGGCCGAUGAUCCACGGCCUUUGUUUGUUAGUGUGUUACUUCCCCAACAAAUGAAUGACGGGUUUCGUGCCUUGCUUACGGAGUUCAAAGAUUGUUUUGCUUGGAGCUAUCAUGAAAUGCCCAACUUAGAGCGUACUCUGGUCGAGCAUGAAUUACAUAUUAAGCCCGGAUGCAAACCUUUCCGUCAGCCACCUCGUCGAUUCUCGACCGAAGUGCAACUCGGCAUCAAAGACGAAUUGGUUCGGCUUUUGAAAGCCAGGUUCAUUCGGACAGCUCGAUAUGUUGAAUGGUUGGCAAAUAUCGUGCCUGUUUUAAAGAAAAAUGGUGCACUACGCAUUUGUAUCGAUUUCAGAAAUCUGAAUCUGGCAACUCCCAAAUAUGAGUAUCCAAUGUCGAUUUCAGACCUGUUAAUCGAUGCUGCGGCAAAUCAUGCAAUCUUAUCCUUUAUGGAUGGACACGCCGGAUACAACCAAAUAUUCAUUGCUGAAGCCGAUGUGCACAAAACUGCUUUCCGUUGCCCGGGGGCACUCGGGACUUACGAAUGGGUUGUUAUGCCGUUCAGCCUCAAGAAUGUCGACGCCACAUACCAGCGGGCGAUGAAUACCAUCUUCCAUGAUUUAAUUGGAACCAUCAUCGAAGUUUACAUCGACGAUGUUGUCAUCAAAUCUAAACGCCGACAGACACAUCUGGACGAUCUCCGACAAGCUUUCCUCCGCAUGUGUCGGCACAACCUCAAGAUGAAUCCUGCCAAGUGUGCCUUCGGCGUAUCGGCCGGAAAUUUUCUUGGCUUCCUCGUGCAUCACCGUGGGAUUGAAGUCGAUGAGAAUAAGGCCCGCGCAAUCAUCAAUGCCCCACCCCCAACUACGAAGAAACAACUCCAAUCCUUACUAGGACAGAUCAAUUUCCUCCGCCGAUUUAUUGCCGACUCAACAGGUAAAAUGAAAGCGUUCUCCACGCUUUUGAAACUCAAGGACUCCGAUAAAUUUGUGUGGAACGAUGAGCAUCAGGCGGCGUUUACGCAAAUCAAAGUCUCCCUCACGAACCCACAUGUCCUGGUUCCUCCUCGGCGCGGUAAGCCUCUUAAGCUCUACAUCUCGGCGGCCGAAGAGUCCAUCGGCUGCCUCCUUGCGUAAGACAACGACGCCGGACGAGAGCAUGCUAUUUUUUAUCUCAGCCGCAAUCUCAGUCAACCGGAGAUCAAUUAUCCAGCCGUCGAAAAGCUGUGCCUGGCCGUGUUUUUUGCCGCUUCCAAGCUUCGACAUUAUAUGCUCCCAUCAGUCACCCAAGUUAUUGCUCAGACCGACGUCAUCCGCUACAUGCUCACCCGACCAAUCGUAAAAGGCCGCAUUGGGAAAUGGACCAUGGCACUGUCCGAAUUUAGCUUGCAGUACGUAGCCAGAAAGCUAUCAAGGGCCAGGCACUGGCUGAUUUCCUUGCUCAACAUCCCUCCCCAUACGGUUUUGGGGGCAACGACGUUGAAAUCGGCAUUGUUCAGACGCGCGACAACCACUGGACGAUGUACUUUGACGACUCCAGUACGUCAUCUUCGACGGGCGUGGGAAUUGUCAUUCAAUCCCCGAACCACGAUCACUGGUUAUUUUCGCUUAAGUUGGAUUUCGAAUGCACCAACAAUCAGGCCGAAUAUGAAGCCCUAAUCGUCGGCCUUGGAAUUCUUCAUGACUUGCGGGCGACCCGCGCCCUAACAUUAUCAAGUUGAUUAUAUAGCGAUCUGACAAAUAUUGUGAGUGUAGAAAAUAUGUAGUAAUUAAUGAAAGAAGUCUAAACACACCAUAAUCAUUUAUAUAUAAUGAAUUAGUACAAUAUUUUACACUUUAGUACCACAUAGAGUUCCUAUGAGGUUCAAAUUUUUCACUAUCUUCAUCAUCUCUAUGUGUAGAAUGAGUGUAUUGUGAAGAGUAGUUAUCAAAUGAUAAAUCCCCAAAAUAGUUUUGCAUGUAAUUGUUAAUAUGCCACCCAUAUGGAUCCGAGAUUGGUUGAGGUUGUCCAUAAGAAAAAACAUUUGAAGAUUGAGGCUGGGAUUGUUUCCAUGAGUCGCUCGAUUCCAUCCCAACAGGAAUGGGAUAUGAAGGGUAGGGAAAUGGUUGGUUAUGAGUAUAACCAUAGUUACUACUUCCCAAUCCAACAGAGUCUGAAGUUCUAGAUAACGAGUCAUCUUCUUGACUUGACAAAAUCCCCUUGCCUCUUUCUCUGCGAGUAUAGUCCUUCCCUAUGGCACCAAUUCCUGGUCCUGCCCGCCUACUGCCAUGGUCAUCAUCCUGUGUUGCAUGCGUGAAGUUUGCCUCACCAGUGAAGGGGCUCAUAUAUCCGGGAGAUGGUGGUCCAUAAUAGUUUCCAUAUCCACCACCACUACCUCCAACUCCACUACCUCCAGCUCCAUUAUGUCCUUCAUCAUUCCCACCUCCGGUGGUAGGUGAGUCUCCUGAUCUUGUACUAGAGCUAUCAUUAGUAUGAGCACGAUGUUGUGGUUGUGUAGGAUUGGAGAAGGUGGAAUUCCAGUGUUUCUUGGUCUUGGGUGCAAAAGUUCUUCGAAAGAGUUAGAGCUGCUAGAUCCCACAUCCUCCUCUAAUACUCUUUCUACAUUUAUCCCUUCAUUACGUGCUUCUUCAGCAACUCUGGGAGCUGGGUUGCCUUCAUCAUCAUCUAAAUGAAGAGGUCUAAUCCAUUGAAAAAAUUGGUUACCCUCCGUAUCAUCAUCUUCACCAACAAUAUCAAACACAUCUAGUGGGUCACCACGGUCGACAUGAUCGAUUUCUGCUUCCUUAUCUCGAAUUUGAAGCUUCAUGUUGUAGUAGCAAUAAACUAAUUUUUCCAAGCUACUAUGAGCCAACUUAUUUCUUUGCUUUGUGUGUAUGAGUGCAAAUGUGCUCCAAUUUCUUUCACAAGCAGAUGAGGAAGCUGUUUGUGAUAAUACUUUUAUUGCUAACUUUCUCACAGUUGGUGCAUCGGUCUCAUACAUGAUCCACCAUUCAGCUGCAAUGAAAAAUAAUGUUGAUAAGCCUAAUAACUCCAACAAAUUCUAUCAUAAACUUAUAGUGAAAUAUGUUUAUACUCACUAGGAGACAUAUUUGUUCGAGCAGCAACUGAUGUUGGUUCUCCAAAUGUUCUUCUUGCAUCUUUAAACCAUGUUAGCUGAAUACAAUAAAUUAUGUUAGUUUAAUCCAACAAAGUAAUUAUUAUAAAUUAAGUAAUUGUGUACCUCAUUUCCAAAUUGGCCAACUGCUGGUGAUGCAGGGUCUAAUUUAGAGUAUACAUUAUGUACAGCACGUAUAAGGUCACCAUCAUCUCCAACACCGGGUUUGUAUUGGUAUCGGGGAUUCAAAUAAUAUGCUGUUCAAAGAAACACAUACUCUAAUAAGAGAAAUAAUACUUAUGCAACUAAAGAAAUGAAUUGCAAAUUAUGACAUAAUUUAUACCUGUUGCAUGCAAAUCAUGGUAUAAUGUUUUAUACCAUCGGUCUUCAAUUAUUUUUAUGACCCACCUUGCACCAUGUUUUCUUUCCAAUUCAUCCUUCACUACACGCAUCAACUCAUAUACUGCCCCCAUAGUAGGAUACACUUCUGUGUCAACGAUCCGUAAAACUUUGUAAAGAGGUUCAAACACUUGACACACAUGUUCUGUUUGAGUCCAAAAAGCAUGAUCAAGCACUAUACUUUCCACCAUACGACCUGUAUUUGAGCGGCUGAAAUUGUGGUUGGCCCAAUCGUCACUAGUGAAUAGUUGCUUCAACCCUGCUUUCUUCUUGAGUAGGCUGUUUAAUGCAAUAUAGUUGGUGGCGAAUCGAGUGGUAGCUGGACGAAUAAUUUCUCCUCUGCAAAAUUCAAGCAUCUUUGCCAACAACCAACCGUGAUUGUAAAUAUAAUUUGUGAUCGUUCUAGCUCUUUUGACCAUAGUAGCAACAGUCUCUCUCUUCCCCAUUGCCUCAAACAUGAGAUCAAUACAAUGUGCUGCACAUGAUGUCCAAAACACAUUAUGAUGCUUCAUUAACUUUUUUCCAGCUUUGACAAAUGCAGAACCGUUGUCGGUCACGACUUGGACAACAUUAUGCUCUCCCACCUCCAUGAUUACAUCCCUCAAUAAUUUGUAAAUAUACUUGUAAUUCUUUAUAUGGUCUGAAGCAUCAACAGACUUCAAAAAAAUUGUCUUUCCCUUGGAGUAUACCAUGAAGUUGAUGAUAGAUAAUCUGGUCGGGCCGGUCCAUCCGUCACACAUGAUUGUGCAACCAUUAGUUUCCCACUUUGACCUCAACUUGUUAACAUACUCGCCAAUGUCUUUAUACUCCAUAUCCAAAUAUUUGUUUCUUAUCUCAUAGGGAGUGGGAGGUUGUACUCCAACACCGGCCUGUUGACAUCCCACUACCAUAUUUUUGAAAUGAUGUGAUGAUGCCUUCGCAGCAGGGACAUUUUCAUAGAUAAAGAACUUGCUAAUUAGACGCCUCAUUCCCUCCUUCACAUUACCUCCCUUGAAAUAACUCCAAACACUCUUUUGACGUGCGUUGGAUGACUUAUAUAAACUUGGGGCUAUUGGUGGUGUUGGUUGUGAUUCUCUAAGACUGCCUCCCCGUCUCAUUUGUGAACCACCACUUGUCCCGGAACCUUGUCCCCUAUUAGGAAUUUUAUGAAGGUGUUCUCUUUCCCAUGCUGACUGUUUGGAGGCACGUAAUGCUUGUUUCAAACUGCGUCGUUCUUCAGGUCCCAUGUCAUCAUUACAUUCGUCCUCAUCGUCAUCAUCAUCACUGUCAACCGCUUGGCCAUAGAUUUCUCCCCGUAGCCCAGCUCGAAUAUUUUCCAUUCCCUGUGUUAUCUUUUCCUUCUGCUGUUUUUUAUUUUUUAAUAAUGUGCUGAUGAAUGCCUUCACUUCUGGGGGGACAUUAUCGCAUCGUUGGACAUUUUUUGAUGGAUCUAAUCCACCAAGAUGAUACUUCAGUCGUGUCACUCCGCCACUCUUCAUUACCCGACCACAAUAUUUGCAAAUUGUGCCAUGUUUGUUUCCGUCUAUUGGGUCUCCAUAUUCCCAAGCUGGAUCACGUUUACUGGACAUCUUAAACGUACCUAUAUUUAUUUUUCAUGAAAAUUAGACAAUUAUUUUUUGAUAAAAAUAAGAGAACCUAAAUAAUAAAGUUAUUCUACAGAAGAAUUAAAUACAAAGUAAAGAAAAUGAUUGUAAAAAUUUAAGUAAUUAUACAAAUAAUAUGGAAUAAUAAAACCUAAUAUUAAUGAAUAAUAAUCCAAUUUGAUAAUAAUUCAAUUUAAUGAAUAAUAAUCCAAUUUGAUAAAAACAAAAUCCUAAUAUAAAACAUGGUGAUGAAUAAUAAUCCAAUUUGAUAAAAACAAAAUCCUAAUAUAAAACAUGGUGAUGAAUAAUAAUCCAAUUUGAUAAUAAUCCAAUUUAAUGAAUAAUCCACCAAUUUGAUAAUAAUCCAAUUUAAUGAAUAAUCCACCAAUUUGAUAAAAAAAAAUAAUCCUAAUAUAAAACAUGGUGAUGAAUAAUAAUCCAAUUUGAUAAUAAUAAUCCAAUUUGAUAAUAAUCCAAUUUGAUAAUAAUCCAAUGUAAUGAAUAAUCCACCAAUUUGAUAAAAAAAAAUCCUAAUAUAAAACAUGGUGAUGAAUAAUAAUCCAAUUUAAUGAAUAAUAAUCCAAUUUGAUAAUAAUCCAAUUUAAUGAAUAAUCCACCAAUUUGAUAAAAAAAAUAAUCCUAAAUAUAAAACAUGGUGAUGAAUAAUAAUCCAAUUUGAUAAUAAUCCAAUUUAAUGAAUAAUCCACCAAUUUGAUAAAAAAAAUAAUCCUAAUAUAAAACAUGGUGAUGAAUAAUAAUCCAAUUUGAUAAUAAUCCAAUUUAAUGAAUAAUCCACCAAUUUGAUAAAAAAAAUAAUCCUAAUAUAAAACAUGGUGAUGAAUAAUAAUCCAAUUUGAUAAUAAUAAUCCAAUUUAAUGAAUAAUCCACCAAUUUGAUAAAAAAAAAUAAUCCUAAUAUAAAACAUGGUGAUUAAUAAUAAUCCAAUUUAAUGAAUAAUAAUCCAAUUUGAUAAUAAUCCAAUUUAAUGAAUAAUCCACCAAUUUGAUAAAAAAAUUUCCUAAUAUAAAAGAAUAAUAAUCCAAUUUGAUAAUAAAAAAACCUAAUAUUAAUGAAUAAUAAUCCAAUUUGAUAAUAAAAAAAUCUAAUAUUAAAGAAUAAUAAUCCAAUUUGAUAAUAAAAAAAACCUAAUAUUAAUGAAUAAUAAUCCAAUUUGAUAAUGAAAAUGGUAAGGAAAAUAAAAUAAUAAAUAAUAUUAAACAUAUUAAAAUUAUCCUAGGGAAUAAUUAUACAACAUUACUUAAUUACUUAAAACAAUUAACAUUAACAUUACUUAAUUACUUACAAAAAUUAACAUGCAAGUAUUAAUUACUUAAAAAGAUUAACAUACGAGUCCACACAAAUUUAUUUGUUGUUGUAUAAAUUACAAUAAUAUAAAUUUAAGUUUGUAAACUUACCUUAAAUAUGGAAGCCUUUGUGUUCAAGCUUUGGAAUGGAUUUGGAAUGAUUUUGAAAAUGGUAAGGAAAAUAAAAUAAUAAAUAACAUUAAACAUAUUAAAAUUAUCCUAGGGAAUAAUUAUACAACAUUACUUAAUUACUUAAAACAAUUAACAUUAACAUUACUUAAUUACUUACAAAAAUUAACAUGCAAGUAUUAAUUACUUAAAAAAAUUAACAUACGAGUCCACACAAAUUUAUUUGUUGUUGUAUAAAUUACAAUAAUAUAAAUUUAAGUUUGUAAACUUACCUUAAAUAUGGAAGCCUUUGUGUUCAACCUUUGGAAAGGAUCUGGAAUGGUUUUGAAAAUGGUAUGGGAAGAAGAAGAAACGAAAUUUCUGUGAAUGCUUCUGAUACUCCACUGGGUGAAAGAAUGUAAGUAUAUAACAGACAUUGACACUGUUUUGCAUGUGAAAGACUCUUACUGACUGUCACACGAUUUCAUUAUGAAAGCAGUAUUAUUUGUUGUCCAUGUUCUGAAAUUGCAAAAAGUUAUUUGGAUCAUUGGAUCAGAGAGCUAGACAUAGGUUUGGAAUGAUUUGGUUUUGAAUAAUUUGGAGCAUUGGAUGCUUUUUUUUUCUUACACGCCACCACUCAGACAGUAAAAAAGAGUGAGGAACUCACACUCCACCACCACACACACUUCGAGACCCCCCACACCACACCACACACGCACACCACACACGGAGCUCAGUCUCUCUCUCGAUCAUUCAUUUCCCACUACCAUAUUCUCGAAUCCUCUCAAUCUCUCUCUUCUCUCUUCUCUCUCUCUGAGGUCUGAGCCUUCGUUCUCAUUGAGAACUUCUCAGUCUUCUCCCUCCCUUACCCCUUCUCCAGUUCUUCCACACACACACAGAGACAUCAUCUCUCGAAUCUCGAUCCAUCUCUCGAUCCUUCUCGUCCGUGUCUCCGUGUCUCCCUCUGCUCCUCCCAUAUCACCCGCCCUAAACCCAGCCGUCAACACCACUCGAUAACCGCCUUCUAAACCACCUUGAUCCAUGGAGAUCGACCGGAAAUCAUCGUAGUCCCAGCCGUCGACACCACUGAGGAGCACGACGUUGUCCCAGCCGUCUUGGAUUCGUGAGGAAGACGUGUUCCCAGGCUCCUACUUCUCUUCUUCUCGGCUUUUACUUUAAAUUUUUGUACAGAUUUCAAUUUUUCUGCAUGUUGCACCUUUGUUGUACUGAAAUCGAUUUUAGGGAUUUAGGAAUUAGGGUUUCUAUUUUUGUACAUAUUGCGAUUUUUCUGCAUGUUGCUUGAUUUUUGUACUGAAAUCGAUUUUAGGGAUUUAGGAAUUAGGGAUUCAGUUCAUUUGCUUUGAAUUCGAAUUUGGGGAUUUAGGGAUUCGGUUAAUUUGCUCCGGCGUUCUUCUCGGCUUGUAAAUUACAAUUUUUGUACAAAUUGCGAUUUUUCUGCAUGUUGAUUUUUGUACUGAAAUCGAUUUUAGGGAUUCCUGUAUUGUAGAUUCAGUUCAUUUGCUUUGAAUUAGAAUUUUGGGAUUUAGGGGUUUGGAUUAUUUGCUCCGGCUGUGUUCUCCGAUGAGUCCAUACCAAAUAUCGCGAUAGUUUCGAAAAUAUCGCGAUAUUAUCGAUAUUAUCGAUAAUAUCGCGAUAUUCUGCCGAAAACAAGUUGGAUAGUUAAUAAAAUAUCGGGGUCCCAAAAAAACGAUAAUAUCGGCGAUAUUUCACCGAUAUUAUCGAUAUUUUCUUCACUGGAUGUGACUCAAAUUUUGAAUAUUCGAGCUGCCUACGUAUCCCUCCAAAGAAGAGAUCAAGUCGUAACGUAGUUCAAAUACAUACAUAUUUUUUUUUGGUACUUUCUUUUUGUGCCGUUUGCAAUUUUAACUCAUGCAGGCAAGGAGUGUUGGUGUCGUUUGCAGUUUUAACUCGUGCAGACAAUGAGCAUUUGGUGCCGUGUUGCAGUUUCAACUCGUGCAGGCAAGGAGCGUUGGUGUUGCCUUUUAUGCUCGUGCACACCAGGAGCGUUUGGUGCCGUGUUGCAGUUUCAGCUCGUGCAGGCAAGGAGCUUCGUGUCCUACAGUUUAGGCUCGUGCGGACAAGGAGCUUUUGGUUCGUGCAGUUUAGGCUCGUGCGAACAAGGAGCAUUGUGUCUUGCAGUUUAGGCUCUUACAGACAAGGAGCUUUGGUGAAUUUGUCAAGCAAUUUUGGAGAGGCGUUCCUCACAAUCUUCAUAGCAAGGAGCCUUGACCGAGUGAUUGAAGAGGUCUUCGGGUAAGAAAUCACGCAUCGUGAUGGGGAUGGGUGAUCUAUAUGUCGAAAUUUCAUCAUCUUCAACACGUUCACGUUGCUUUGAAGGUUGACAAGAGAUGCUUUGCCCCCUUUCCGAUUGGCGGACUUGUGGAGGAGACGUAUGCUUCUUGUGCAAUUUCUUAUGAGUGACUUGAGUCCAUCCUUCAACUUUGCUUGUCUUGGAGGAUGCCCCCAAUGGUUGAGGUGAAAACUUUGAGUCGGAAGAGCCAAAAGUGAUGGUGGUAUAGUUUGACUUCACCACAUCAUCAAGAUCUAGCUCGAUGAUUCCUUUCUAAGCCAGCUUCAUGAUGAGAUCUUUCAGCACGAAGCAUUUUUCUGUCGGAUGACUGAUAAAGCGGUGGAAUUUACAGUAUCUUGGACUGUCGGUACGAUUCAUCUCUUCCGGCCGUCUGCACUCAGGUAAACCGAUCACCUUCUUGUCCAACAGGUCAUCCAGCAUGGCAACCACAUCAGAGUCGGGGAAUGGAUAAGUCUUCUCCUCAAGCUCCUUCAAAGUGCGUCUACGCAUCUCUUGAUCACGAAAAGCUUCGACUUGAAUCGCCUUGCCUCGUGUAGAGAUUUUGACGGGAGAUGUGUUGACCGUCAUCGCUUCCUUGGUGGGUUUCCAUGCAGCCUUCUCCACCUUUGUCUCAAGAACUUUGUCGUUCUUGUAGUCGGCGAUCGGUUCUUUCUUCCUAUGAUAGGCGAUGCUCAACUCCAUGUCAUGGGCGCGAGUGGCCAAUUCCUCGAAAGUCCGUGGUUUAAUGCCUUGGAUGAUGUAUUGCAAACCCCAUUGCAUGCCUUGGAUGCACAUCUCGAUUGAAGAGGUUUUCGAGAGCCUGUCUUUACAGUCGAGGCUUAGAGUGCGCCAUCUGUUGAUGUAGUCAAUGAUUGGCUCGUCCUUCCACUGCUUUGUGCUCGUUAGCUCUAGCAUGCUCACAGUGCGGCGUGUGCUGUAGAAGCGAUUAAGGAAUUCCCGUUCUAAUUGCUCCCAGCUGUUGAUGGACUCAGGCUCUAGGUCCGUGUACCACUCAAAGGCGUUUCCUUUCAGCGAGCGCACAAAUUGCUUGGCGAGGUAGUCUCCAUCUGUCCCCGUGUUGUUGCAAGUUUCGACGAAAUGUGCAACGUGCUGCUUUGGGUUUCCUUUUCCAUCAAACUGCAUGAACUUUGGUGGUUGAUAACCCCUUGGCAUCCUUAGGGCAUCAAUCUUCUUGGAAUAGGGCUUCGAGUAGAACAAGGAGGUAUGUGAGCUCCCUUCGUACUGUGCCUUGAUGGUGUUGGUGAUCAUCUCCUGCAGUUGCUGGAUAGAAAGAGAUCCCAUGAGUGCCGCUGCUUGGUCUGGCUCCGGCUUCCCAUCGAUUUUCUUCACCAGGGGUUCUUCGUCCCCGCCAGCUCCUCCCUUUAGUGGAUCAUCCUCUGGGUCGGGUUUAUCGCCGUCAUGCGCCUCCAGUCGGUUGACUAGUGCUGCAAUUUGCAAGUCUUUUUCUUCCACAGUUCGGGUUAGCCUUGCGAUUGCUUCAUUCAUUUGAGCCAGCUGCUCAUCGAUUGAAGUUGCUCCAAUGGUCAUGACUUGCAUGGCUGAACUGUCGCUUGAAUCGGCAUCAGAGAGCAUGGAUUCGGAGUAUUUCCUUGGGCUUUCCCCCCUUGGUGCCCUUAGUAGGCUAAGGUGAUCAAAGGCUCGUGCCUUGGGUGCUUUUGUUCCCUUGGCAGAGUUGAUGCAGAGGUGAAAGAGGCAGCAGAAGUAGAUCUUGCCAUGCUUCGAGUCGUGAUGCCCAAAGUGACACCAGUUGCGACGAGGACGCUUUUGUUCUUUGCGUCGGUUGCGGGAACAGUUUGAGCCUUCCUUGAUGCCAUUAAUUUUGGAAGUGCGCUUGAAUUUCUUGAACGGAGAAAGAGAUGAGAGGCAGAGAUGGUCCCACUGGGCGUGCCAAUUUGUGAACACGGAAAAUUCCUGAAACGAAAGAGACAAGAACAACGCGCACAAACAAAUAUUUGUGUUUGAUAAUUUUGGGUUACAAUCUCUCUCUAUUUUGAUCCUCUGAUUCGAUCUCCAUAAGGUGUGUAUUUGUGGAUGUGUGAUUGAUCCAAAGGGCCGUUGGGCUUGAUCUAAGGAUGAACGUUCUUCAAGGGCCGUGGACUUGAUCUUGAAGGUGGAUUUGAGCGGAUCUUCAAGGAGCCGUUGGGGCUUGAUCUUGAGUAACGGUGAUGAACGGAUCUUCAAGGGCUUUUGGGCUUAAUCUUGAAGAAACAGUGAUGAACUGAUCUUCAAGGGCUUUUGGGCUUAAUCUUGAAGAACGGUUGGAUGUGUGUGGAUUUGUCGACGUUUGUUGAUCCAAAGGGCCGUUGGGGCUUGAGCUUGGAUGAACGGAUGAUGAACGAUGGUGCUUUCUUCAAAGGCCGUCGGGGCUUGAUCUUGAAUUGGUGGAUGGUUGAUCCAAGGGACCGUUGGGGCUUGAUCUUGGAAGAACGAUGAACGAAGAACGAGGAACACUUUCUUCAAGGGCUGUCGGGGCUUGAUCUUGAAUUGGUGGAUGAUUGUUGAUCCAAAGGGCCGUUGGGGCUUGAUCUUAGGAUGAACGAUGAACGAAGAACGCUUUCUUGAUUCUUCGGGAACCUGGAUGCUUGAGAGCUUCGAAGUUUCAGAGCUUCAGGGCUUCAAGAGUUUUGCCUAAUGAUUUUGGUUCCCCCCAAAUGAAUGAAAUGGGCUUGUAUUUAUAGAAAUUUCCAAGGCCUAAUUUUGAAUAUAAUAUUCCAGAUGAAAUAAGUCGUUUCUGCCAGGUGUUGACACGUGUCCUAUUUGAUGACUUUUCCAACUCAUUUCAAUUUUCGUUGAGUCACACGCUACGUGUAAAAUUUAUGUAAUACAUGAGCGUUGAAACUUUGAUUUAUCGGUCAACAUUUAUUUACCGAAAUUUCGAUGUCUACAGCAGUACCUCGACAAUCCCAAUGGUAAACAUGAUCGCAAGACGAGAGUUCACGCCACAAACUAUGUCAUGUAUCAGAGCGAGUUAUACCGAAAAGGCGAAGAUGGUUUGUUAUUGCUAUGCCUCGGCCCCCAAGAGAGUGUUCGGGCGAUUACAGAAGUCCAUGAAGGGAUAUGCGGAGCUCAUCAAUCCGGACGGAAAAUGCGAUGACUACUUCGACGGCACGGCUAUUUUUGGCCAAGGAUACUAAAGGAUUGUAUCGAGUUUGCACGAGGAUGUGUACAAUGCCAAAUCCACGGGCCUAUACAAAGGGUCCUGGCCGAAUCUUUGCAUUCGGUCAUAAAGCCAUGGCCGUUUCGAGGAUGGGCCAUGGACGUAAUCGGCAAAAUCACGCCGUCUUCUGGAGCCGCUAAGCACGCAUGGGUAAUAGUCGCAACUGAUUACUUUACUAAGUGGGUCGAAGCGAAAUCAUACGCCGAACUAACAUCUAAAGAAGUUUGCGAUUUCAUGGAGGAACACAUCGUGACCAGAUUUGUCGUACCAGAAACGAUCAUAACUGACAAUGGAACAAUCUUCACAGCCGAGAGGUUUAAAGAGUAUACGGCAAAUUUAAAAAUUCGGCUCGAACAGUCUACACCGUAUUAUCCACAGGCGAAUGGGCAGGCCGAGGCAAGUAAUAAAGUGUUGAUCGGCAUCCUCGAAAAAAUGAUAAAAGAAAGGCCUGACAUGUGGCAUUUGAAGUUGAACGAGGCAUUAUGGGCAUAUCGAACAUCGCCCCGAUCGGCGACUGCGACAACCCCGUAUGCAUUAACCUACGGACACGAUGUAAUGUUACCAGUCGAGUUAAGCAUAAAUUCGUUGCGAUUAAUCGAACAAAGUAGUUUGUUUAGCGCCGAAUAUAAUCAGUCCAUGAGACAGGAACUCGAAGAUUUGGAAGAAGUACGACUUGACGCUUAUAACUUACUGGUGGCACAAAAACGGAUUGCCGAGCGAGCCUAUAAUCAAAAGGUACGACAGAAAACAUUCGGCGAGGGUGAAUUAGUGUGGCAAACGGUGUUACCCGUAGGACUAAAAGACCCUAGAUUCGGCAAGUGGUCGCCAAAUUGGGAAGGACCGUUCGUUGUGCAUAAAGUAUACGGAAAAUGGGCGUAUCAUCUUAAAGACCGGACCAGUUUGGUUCACAGAUUGCCGAUCAACGGGAAGUUUUUAAAAAAAUACUACCCGGUCACGUGGGAAAUGCGGGAAUAGAAAAUUAAUUUAUUAAUGUGCAAGACGACUGAAUUGAUCGUUUUUACAUCCAAGUGCCUUUAAGGCGAAGAGGGUAGGAGGGUGCCGAGCAGGGCCUUCAACUCCAACCACCGCACCUCGGCCAUGAUAACUUCAGCUUGCCGAUUCCUCUUGUCCAGCUUCAACCGCUCGACCCGUUUUGUGGUCGCCGCGUACUCAGUUAGGCAAUCCUUUCCGCCCGAUUCGAAGUCUUUAGCAAGCUCGGAAGCAAUGGCCGACCGACGUUUUGCUAGUUCGGCCAUCUGACGGUCGAGCUCGGCUAAGGCGUCUCCUUUUGCCCUUAGAUCGUCGAUUUUCGGACGGAGAGUGUCUUGAACGGUCGUGGUAGCUUACAGGUCGUGUUCGGCCUUUAGAGCGGUCUGGAAGAUACUAAAUGUCUCCCGAACCCGUUCCAAGGCAGACGAUGCCCGAACGAUGGCAUCUCCGCUCAGGCGACCGUCGGCUCCAAGGUCGUUCAGACAUACGCCAAGCAGAUCAAGACCGUUGUGCUUGAGUACUUGCGACGUUGAAAGCGACAAGACUUCUCGCAACUGAGUCAGAGCGCUUGGAUCGGCAGCUUCAGUCGUAGCGGCCGAAGGACCGGACUCUGCAGUUGUGCUGGAGAUGAGGGCUUUGAAUUCGACCUCCCACGAAGCCUGCACAUACAAAUCAGGUUAAGCUUAAAAGAAGUCAUGACAAGAAUAGCAAGAAGGUUUCAUUUUUUAACCUGCCGAGAGGAGACCUCGGCCAUAUCUCCAGGAUUGUUGCUCGAACCUAAAGAACUCAAUGGCCGAGCCCAGUGUCUCAGGGUGCUUCUCAGUUCACGCGGCCGAUGGAGGUUAUCUACGUUUGAUGGCCACUGAGGCGACCAAGAAAUAUAGAUAACGCCCUUCGGUGCGUAGAAUUUUCGAUGAAAAGAGUGUACAGGCACCUGACAUUUAGUAUUUUCUUCGUUUAGAAUUCUAAAGUAGAAAAGCAAUCAAGGAAAGACGGUAGAAGGUACUUACGAAGGCCGAAGUAACCUCCUGCGGAGGAAUGUAGAAGCCCUGGUCUUGAGGAUGAACGGGCGACUCCGCCGUUGCCUCGGGUUCCUCGGCCGGUCGUUUGCCACGGUCGGCUAUGGAGGGGCCGACCGGGACAGCCGCUUCGGAUGAGGCAGGGACAUCCUGGUCCUGAGAAUGAGCGAGGGGUUCGGCCACAGCUGUUGGUUCCUCGAUCGGACGCUUGCCACGAUCAGCCGUGGAGGGGCCGGCUGGAACCACCAUCUCGGAGAUCGGAGGAGGUUGUCGGCGAGUAUGAGGACGAUUUUGCAAGUGGGACCUCAUCGCUCCCCUCACUCUCUUCCAGAAUGAAGACCGAGGGCUUUGGAUUUUUAGGGGAAGUUCCCUCGGUCACAGAAACCGCCUUUUUCGGAACAGGUGCCUCCUCGACAGAGGGAGGCACAACUGGUGUACCAGCCCCAGAAACAGGCCGCGUUUGAACUGUUUCUACGGCCGGAGCUGGCGGUUUCUCGACCAAGGGUUGACCGACAACAGGAGAAUGGGAAACACUGGGAGUCGUCGCCCCUAUAGUUUGACUGGAGAUGAUGUGGAUCUCCCGUGCGCCCUUCUUUGCCAGCUGUUUUACCCGCUUGGCAGGCGGCGGAGGUUCGACGGCCGGCUCGGCCUCUUGGCGAGGCCGUUUGGUCAGCGCGGCCCGACCAGCAGUUUUGUCCUUCUUAGUUACGACCAAUUUUUUCUCGGCCGUAGCCACGGCAACUGCCUCCGUUUUUCUCAAAGGGUGACUACCUGAGAAGAUAAAAGCAAUUCAGUAAAGCAAAUCAAUAUGCAAAGUUAAAAAAAAAAAAAAAAAAAAUUGAACAGGUACCUGGAGCUUGGGGGGCCGGGGCCUUCUUAGGUCGAUCACUGAAGAGUUUCCCCAACACAUCUUCGACCGGAGCACCAAAGAACUCCUGGGUGUAAUUUUCCCACCAAUCACCGAAGGUGUCAGUGCAAAGGGUUUCUGGGGUGGCCGGUCGAAGGCGGAAUUUUUGGCAGUGCUCUUGGAACUCCCUCGCAGCAGUUUUACAUUCCUUCUCCGAGGAACGAGGUUCACGUCCACGGCUUAGGACUGUUCGGGAGGAGAGAAGGGGAACCAAGCAGCCCUGGAGGUAGCCGAGCUGUCGAGCAAGGAAGUUCGGGUGGUACACUUCCCAACCCGAUCGUUUUCCAUCGCAGCCGAGAGGGAGGUCGCGAGUGAGCACAAACGACCCCCAGGUCUGAUGAAGAUCGGCAUCCUCCCCCGCGCCCCACAUGGAGGUAGGCAGUCUGAUGGAGGAAGGAUAGUCUCGACGACGACAUAUCAGGAAUUCGUCGUUCGAAAGGUCAUCAAGAGCGAAGAGGUACCGAAAUACCUCUUCGGCUUGAUGAUGAGGUGUUGGUCGGGAGGCCAGCUGAGGUCCAAGCGCCUCUGUUGGCGAGAAGUCAGCUAUAGCCGGCCGAAGGGAAACGAAGUAAACUUGUAACAAGAGUUGGAAGACCCAGAGGGGACCAUUCUGGUGUGGGUCAAUCUUGUGGAGGGUCGCCUCAGCCAUGCAACGGAAGAGAUGGGCGAGAAUGUUGGAGCUCAGUGCCAGGACGUGACCACUAGCCAGGGCCUCGGCUACCGGCAUGUUCUCGACCAAGCAUUUGUUUGACUUGGUACAACAAAUGUACUUGUUGUACCAAUAGAAGAGGAACGCUUCAUGUUCCCCUUCUCGCAGGUCCUCUUCUCCUCGGCCGGCGAAAUGGAGAUAGAGGGUGUUGUAAUUGAAGAAGUUCUUGUGGAGCUUCUGAAUGUCUUCUUUCGACGGGAUUUGACCUUCACGAUUCAACGUCUCGAAAGCCUGUCGAUCAAAAAGCGUCUUCAGGUCGAUAUUCGACGGGUACCCAGAGAGGGCCGCGUCGAUAGGGAUCCCAGUUGCCGAAGUGCCCAGAAUGGCGGUAACAUCAAGAAUGGUGGGACCGAUGGGCCCAAAAUAAUAGUUUAGGCCGAUGGUAGGAUCAUUCUCGGCCUGGGAGGCCGUACGGCGAAAGGGCCAUGGAUCGUUCAGCUCAAGGGCUUCCAAGCCUAGGUCGGUUAAAUCAGAACGCAAGACGAGUCCUAGUACAACAGGGAGUCUUGACGGGAUCAGUAAUCCAGAAAGUGAAUCCGGCUCAGUUAAAGACUAGGUUCGUAGUCCUAGUGAAGAUAGGACUGGUUGAGGUGAUGUUGAUCCGAAGAGGGAAACCUAGUCCGAGUAGGAUUUUAGCUCGGACUCAAGGUCCAGUGCUAUAAAUAAGGGAAGCUGUGCAUCAAGGAGGGCCCUGCAAAUCAAUACAAAAUUGCCCUGCGCAAAUUCUCACAACUUGUGAUUUUUCUUUUUCCUUUUUCGCUGACACAUCUUCCGUUGGCAUCAACAGCACUGUGGAAGCAACCGGUGAUAUCUUAAGUCGGCAUAGAUAGCUCUGUCACCGUAGAAUCAGUCGGUCUCGCAGUAUCUUCCAUUGGCAUCAACAGCACUGCGGCGAGAACGAUUGGUUACCUAUCCGAGUCUCGGUCGAGAAGGAUUUCUGAAUCCUUAUUGGCCGAGGUCAUCUCAUCAGCCUCCUCGGCGAAGUGAGGUGUUACAAGUGAUUACAUUCGGCACGUUAAAAGUCGAAUUUGAUAUUGAACUUCGUAAAAAUAGUUCAAUAUCAAAUUCAGCUUUCAACAACGUGCCGAAUUUGAUAUUGAACUAUUUUUACGAAGUUCAAUAUCAAAUUCGGCUUUUAACGUGCCGAAUGUAAUCACUUGUAACACCUCACUUCGCCGAGGAGGCUGAUGAGAUGACCUCGGCCGAGACGUGUUCCUUUCUCGACCGCAAUCGCAAGACGCAGAAGUCAACCGCGCACCCAACGCAACAUCAACAAAUUUACUCCUCGGUCGAGCUCGGCCGACGAGUUGGCACGCCCCGCAAUCACCGAAGGACGUAGUUAGCUUAUAGAUUACUCGGCCUGCGCGCCACGUAGGCUUGGUAGUUUCUAGGGUCAACAAAAAACACAAUCACUCUACUUUAGUCUAGUAAAGUAUUAGCUGGUGCUCUAGUAAAGCUUGUGUCGUGUGGACCCGUAAGAAAACGCAAUUACAACAACCAUGGGAUUGGUUUGUGUCUUCCACUAAUGGCGGGAUUUGAUUUCUUGAGAUUUGGAUCCUCUCCUGAGCCCAAUGAGAGGAUCCUCCUGACGAACACACGUGGGCUGUUGGAUUUUUAUCCAACAGCUACAAACAAAUGGAUCUUUUUAGAGUUAUAAUAAUUAUAAUCGUUGGAUGAAAAUCCAACUUUCCACAUGUGUUGGUCAGAGGAUCCUCUCCUGGGACUCGAGAGAGGAUCCAAAUCCGAUUUCCAGCACAUGUUCUCUCCCAUUCGCUGGGCCCACACACUGCUAUAUACCCGCCAUUUGCGUAUUUGUACACCCAGCGCUGGACGUUUCUACACCCAGCACUUCCAAAUAGAAGUAACCAGUCCAAUUUUAGUGGUAUCUUCACUACUAAUUUAUGCAUCGAUCCUCACAUUUAUUGCGUAAUUAAUAACUAAUAAUUAUAUAUUGUAUUGUUGUCUAUGUUUGAGCAGUUGAGAAAAUUAAUCUACUUCAACUUCUGAAGUUUUCUUUCAGCUGAGAAAAUAUAGAACUACUCCAAUUUCUAGUUUCAAAAUGAGGGUUGAGAAAUAAAAACAGAUAAUAAUAAUGGGGCAAAAGACUGUUUACUACCUUCAUGUUUCGUGGUUUUCAAUAUUUAGUAUAUCAAGUUUUUUUCAUCCCAAAAUCAUACCUAAAGUGUAAAUUUUGGGACAAUCUCAUACAUCCAUUAGUCAAAUUGUUAAGUCUCCCGUUAACUGUGACGUGGCGCCCAUGUGGACAAUGACUGGGCGCCACGUGGAAAUUAAAAAUUAAAAAAAAAACUCAAAAUUUCAAAAUUCAAAACCACCUUCCCAUUCCUCCUCUACAACACCAAUUCUUCUUCCAAUCCGCCAACCCCACCACCACCAUGUCCCAAAAAUCCAAAUCACGAUGCAAAAACGCAAAACUCAAACAAAGCCCAGCACCUCCAAUCUAAAACCCGACCCCUCAAAACCCUAACCCACAUCGCCGUUAAGUACAUCGGCGCCGUAGCCUCAGUCUAGGCCUCCUACGCCGCCAUGGCCAAGCUCAUCAACACGAACGUCUUCGACUUCGCCAACGCCUUUCCCUUCAUCUUCCCCCACCUUCUCUAAAUUUACCAUUUCUCCAGUCCUCCAUGGAACGCUCUCAGGCGUGAAUCGUCACUACCAGAAGAGGGUUGACGCGGAAGCACGAAUAAGACUUCAGAGAUGAAAUGAUCGAGGGAGAACUGGAUCGGAAAGUUCAAGCCGUCGUCGAAACGCGGGACGAUCGCCCAGAUCUCGUCGGUGGGUUUGCGAGCAGGUCCGGAUUCUGGAGUCCAUAUUCUCAUCCGCGUAACCCGACCGCCCAUGGCCUCGCUCUCACCGCCAAAGAAGGUAGCAUGCUCGCUGUUGUCUUUUAUUUUGGCCAGUGUUCUUGGAGUUAACUGUUUGUUCAUCUUUAAUCUGAGCGAAAUCUUGUGAGAUUGUUUGGGGCUUAGGUUUUUUUUGGUAAUUUGUAUGCAGAUGAGCUUGUGGACAUUGUGGUGGACUGUGGAGCAGUUCCAGCGCUUGUUAAGCAUCUGUAGGUGCCUCCGCCGGCCACAGACAACCGAAAAAGCCCGAUCCCGUACGAGCACGAGGUCGAGAAGAUGGUGGAGGGAUGGAGGGCGAGGGAAGACGAAAAGGUUAUGGGUGUGUGUGGAUGAGGGAGAAGACGACUGUUUUUUGUUUGUUUUUUUUUUAAUUAUUUUUUUAAUAUUAAAGUGGCCCUAUAUUGACACGUGGCGCCCAGUAAUUGUUCGUGUAGGCGCCACGUCAUCAGUUAACAGAAAUUCUAACGGAAAACUUAACGGAUGUAUGAGACUGUCCCAAAAUUAAGACUUUAGGUAUGACUCUGGGACAAAAAAAACUUCAUGUAUUAAAUGUUGAAAACCACGAAACUUUAGAUUAGUAAACAGAGUUUAACCCAUAAUAUUGCUACUCCUUUGCCAAAUGUCUUCAUCUCAUAAGGUGUAAGAUGAACAGCUAAGAUUGCUUUGAUGUAAAGCUUGAAUACUGCCAAAACUAUGUAACCAUUAGAAGACUACCAAUAACAUUGUAUGCUAAAAGUAAAGGGAUGAUGAGAUAUCAUAACGUUCAUUUAUGUUGAUAAUAUAAUCUACACUUGGAGCUGCCAAGAAUUAAUAAAUGAAUUUAAAUUGGUUUCUAGAAUCUACAGUAAAAGUAGAAGGGAUGAUGAGAUAUUAUUAUUAUUAUAGAUUGGUUUCUAGAAUUUUAGUUUAUUUAUCAGAUGCUAUGAAAUUAGCCUGAGGGCCAUUAUCCAAAUGGAAGCAAGCACUCUAAAGGCUCUCCAUUUUUAAUGUCCUUCUCAGAGGGCAUAGCCUAAAAAUAAAAGUUUUAGGGUAAAUUUAAAAAAACUCUAAUAAUCUCACACAAUUCGAAUACUUUUUUCUCCAUCUCACAACUUUCUCUUGGAGUCAAAAUCUCAUGCCCCCUAAGUAUUGGAAUUCUUGAUUCUCAUGAGUAUAAUUAUUGAUUUUGAGUGGACUCCGCCUAUUUUUUCAUUCUUAAAAUGUUAUUAAAUGAUCAAACUGCAAAAUCAUUUUAGAAAUAAUCCAAUUCCUUUUUUUUUUCACUCCCAUUCCACUUUUUUUUUUUUUUUUUGGAGAAUUGCAUAAUAGCAUAAUCAGGGCCGAAGCCAGAGAAGUACAGAAAGCCACCACUGGCCAACACGAAAAAAUCUCAAAUAUACCAUUCCGAAUAAAUCUCAAAUUUAAAUUUUGGUUCUCCAAUUAAUUAAACAAAAUUAUAACUAACUUUUUCACAAGUUCUGAAUGGUUACAAUCAGACAAUGAGUAAUGAGGAAAUUUAAGGCUAAAACCCUUUAUUAUGGGAACAAAGAAAGUCAUAAAUUGGGUCCAUUUGGAAUGAGGAAAUUUCCAACCUCAAUCCAAUAUCGAUUACAAUCAGACAAUGAGAAUCCAAGGGGAUCCUCAUCCGUACUUUUUAAUACUUUAUUCACUGAUCCUUACAAAUUAUAUUAUUAAAUUUAGUAUACUAUGAAAUUUCUUUUAUUGUAUCCCCAUCAUUCUACUUUAGUCUAGUGGCAUAAUAAAGUAAAACAUAAUCAUCCACUUUAAGAUAAAUUUUUAGUUGUGACAGAAAUACAAGUGGUACACCACGUGUUUUAAUAGGAGUGGCAAGAAAUAUUAUUUUCUAAGUUAUUAACUUUUUAACACACAUAUCCCACCAUUUAUAUAGAGACACAUGGUGUAUUACCUGUGUACCAGUCAUACUGAAAAACCUCUCUCAUACUUUAAGGGAUUUGAUUUCCUUCUCUCUCCCACUUCCUGGGUCCACACGCUACUAUAUAUUGUAUUGUAGUUUAUGUUUAAGCAACUAAGAAAAUUAGAUCUACUCCAAUUUCUAGUUUCGGGUUGAGAAAAAAACAAAUAAUGAUAAUACUACUCUUUUUGUAAGUGUCUUCAUCUCAUAAGGUGUAAGAUGAAAUACUAAUAUUACUUUAAUGUAAGCUUGAUUAUUGCCAAAACUAUAUAAUCGUUGAAAGAGUACUAGUGAAGCAACAUUUUACACUAAAAGUAAAGGGGGAUGAUGAGAUAUCAUACUGUCCAUUUAUGUUGAUGAUAUAAUCUACACCAGUGAAGAAAAUAUCGAUAAUAUCGGCGAAAUAUCGUCGAUAUUAUCGUUUUUUUUGGACCCCGAUAUUUUAUUAACUAUCCAACUUGUUUUCAGCAGAAUAUCGCGAUAUUAUCGAUAAUAUCGCGAUAUUUUCGAAACUAUCGCGAUAUUUUCGAAACUAUCGCGAUAUUUGGUAUGGACUCAUCGGAGAACACAGCCGGAGCAAAUAAUCUGAACCCCUAAAUCCCCAAAUUCUAAUUCAAAGCAAAUGAACUGAAUCUACAAUACAGGAAUCCCUAAAAUCGAUUUCAGUACAAAAAUCAACAUGCAGAAAAAAUCGCAAUUUGUACAAAAAUUGUAAUUUACAAGCCGAGAAGAACGCCGGAGCAAAUUAACCGAAUCCCUAAAUCCCCAAAUUCGAAUUCAAAGCAGAUGAACUGAAUCCCUAAUUCCUAAAUCCCUAAAAUCGAUUUCAGUACAAAAAUCAAGCAACAUGCAGAAAAAUCGCAAUCUGUACAAAAAUAGAAACCCUAAUUCCUAAAUCCCUAAAAUCGAUUUCAGUACAACAAAGGUGCAACAUGCACAAAAAUUGAAAUCUGUACAAAAAAAUUAAAGUAAAAGCCGAGAAGAAGAGAAGUAGGAGCCUGGGAACAUCGUCUUCCUCACGAAUCCAAGACGGCUGGGACAACGUCGUGCUCCUCAGUGGUGUCGACGGCUGGGACUACGAUGAUUUCCGGUCGAUCUCCAUGGAUCAAGGUGGUUUAGAAGGCGGUUAUCGAGUGGUGUCGACGGCUGGGUUUAGGGCGGGUGAGAUGGGAGGAGCAGAGGGAGACACGGAGACACGGACAAGGAGGAUCGAGAUUCGAGAGAUGAUGUCUCUGUGUGUGUGGAAGAACUGGAGAAGGGGGAAGGGAGGGAGAAGAUUGAGAAGUUCUCUCAGUGAGAACGAAGGCUCAGACCUCAGAGAGAGAGAAUAGAGAAGAGAGAGAUUGAGAGGAUUCGAGAAUAUGGUAGUGGGAAAUGAAUGAUCGAGAGAGAGACUGAGCUCCGUGUGUGGUGUGCGUGUGUGGUGUGGUGUGGGGGGUCUCGAAGUGUGUGUGUGGUGGAGUGUGAGUUCUUCACUCUUUUUGACUGUCUGAGUGGUGGCGUGUAAGAAAAAAAAAGCAUCCAAUGCUCCAAAUUAUUCAAAACCAAAUCAUUCCAAACCUAUGUCUAGCUCUCUGAUCCAAUGAUCCAAAUAACUUUUUGCAAUUUCAGAACAUGGACAACAAAUAAUACUGCUUUCAUAAUGAAAUCGUGUGACAGUCAGUAAGAGUCUUUCACAUGCAAAAACAGUGUCAAUGUCUGUUAUAUACUUACAUUCUUUCACCCAGUGGAGUAUCAGAAGCAUUCACAGAAAUUUCGUUUCUUCUUCUUCCCAUACCAUUUUCAAAACCAUUCCAGAUCCUUUCCAAAGGUUGAACACAAAGGCUUCCAUAUUUAAGGUAAGUUUACAAACUUAAAUUUAUAUUAUUGUAAUUUAUACAACAACAAAUAAAUUUGUGUGGACUCGUAUGUUAAUUUUUUUAAGUAAUUAAUAUUUGCAUGUUAAUUUUUGUAAGUAAUUAAGUAAUGUUAAUGUUAAUUGUUUUAAGUAAUUAAGUAAUGUUGUAUAAUUAUUCCCUAGGAUAAUUUUAAUAUGUUUAAUGUUAUUUAUUAUUUUAUUUUCCUUACCAUUUUCAAAAUCAUUCCAGAUCCAUUCCAAAGCUUGAACACAAAGGCUUCCAUAUUUAAGGUAAGUUUACAAACUUAAAUUUAUAUUAUUGUAAUUUAUACAACAACAAAUAAAUUUGUGUGGACUCGUAUGUUAAUCUUUUUAAGUAAUUAAUACUUGCAUGUUAAUUUUUGUAAGUAAUUAAGUAAUGUUAAUGUUAAUUGUUUUAAGUAAUUAAGUAAUGUUGUAUAAUUAUUCCCUAGGAUAAUUUUAAUAUGUUUAAUAUUAUUUAUUAUUUUAUUUCCCUUACCAUUUUCAUUAUCAAAUUGGAUUAUUAUUCAUUAAUAUUAGGUUUUUUUAUUAUCAAAUUGGAUUAUUAUUCUUUAAUAUUAGAUUUUUUUUUUAUUAUCAAAUUGGAUUAUUAUUCAUUAAUAUUAGGUUUUUUAUUAUCAAAUUGGAUUAUUAUUCUUUUAUAUUAGGAAAUUUUUUUAUCAAAUUGGUGGAUUAUUCAUUAAAUUGGAUUAUUAUCAAAUUGGAUUAUUAUUAUCAAAUUGGAUUAUUAUUCAUCACCAUGUUUUAUAUUAGGAUUAUUUUUUUAUCAAAUUGGUGGAUUAUUCAUUAAAUUGGAUUAUUAUCAAAUUGGAUUAUUAUUAUCAAAUUGGAUUAUUAUUCAUCACCAUGUUUUAUAUUAGGAUUUUUUUUUUUAUCAAAUUGGUGGAUUGUUCAUUAAAUUGGAUUAUUAUCAAAUUGGAUUAUUAUUCAUCACCAUGUUUUAUAUUAGGAUUAUUUUUUUUUAUCAAAUUGGUGGAUUAUUCAUUAAAUUGGAUUAUUAUCAAAUUGGAUUAUUAUUCAUCACCAUGUUUUAUAUUAGGAUUUUUUUUUAUCAAAUUGGUGGAUUAUUCAUUAAAUUGGAUUAUUAUCAAAUUAGAUUAUUAUUCAUUAAAUUGGAUUAUUAUUCAUCACCAUGUUUUAUAUUAGGAUUAUUUUUUUAUCAAAUUGGUGGAUUAUUCAUUAAAUUGGAUUAUUAUCAAAUUGGAUUAUUAUCAAAUUGGAUUAUUAUUAUCAAAUUGGAUUAUUAUUCAUCACCAUGUUUUAUAUUAGGAUUUUUUUUAUCAAAUUGGUGGAUUAUUCAUUAAAUUGGAUUAUUAUCAAAUUGGUGGAUUAUUCAUUAAAUCGGAUUAUUAUCAAAUUGGAUUAUUAUUCAUCACCAUGUUUUAUAUUAGGAUUUUUUUUAUCAAAUUGGAUUAUUAUUCAUUAAAUUGAAUUAUUAUCAAAUUGGAUUAUUAUUCAUUAAUAUUAGGUUUUAUUAUUCCAUAUUAUUUGUAUAAUUACUUAAAUUUUUACAAUCAUUUUCUUGACUUUGUAUUUAAUUCUUCUGUAGAAUAACUUUAUUAUUUAGGUUCUCUUAUUUUUAUCAAAAAAUAAUUGUCUAAUUUUCAUGAAAAAUAGAUAUAGGUACGUUUAAGAUGUCCAGUAAACGUGAUCCAGCUUGGGAAUAUGAAGACCCAAUAGACGGAAACAAACAUGGCACAAUUAGCAAAUAUUGUGGUCGGGUAAUGAAGAGUGGCGGAGUGACACGACUGAAGUAUCAUCUUAGUGGAUUAGAUCCAUCAAAAAAUGUCCAACGAUGCGAUAAUGUCCCCCCAGAAGUGAAGGCAUUCAUCAGCACAUUAUUAAAAAAAAAAAACAGCAGAAGGAAAAGAUAACACAGGGAAUGGAAAAUAUUCGAGCUGGGCUACGGGGAGAAGUCUAUGGCCAAGCGGUUGACAGUGAUGAUGAUGACGAUGAGGACGAAUGUAAUGAUGACAUGGGACCUGAAGAACGACGCAGUUUGAAACAAGCAUUACGUGCCUCCAAACAGUCAGCAUGGGAAAGAGAACACCUUCAUAAAAUUCCUAAUAGGGGACAAGGUUCCGGGACAAGUGGUGGUGCACAAAUGAGACGGGGAGGCAGUCUUAGAGAAUCACAACCAACACCACCAAUAGCCCCAAGUUUAUAUAUAAGUCAUCCAACGCACGUCAAAAGAGUGUUUGGAGUUAUUUCAAGGGAGGUAAUGUGAAGGAGGGAAUGGGGCGUCUAAUUAGCAAGUUCUUUAUCUAUGAAAAUGUCCCUGCUGCGAAGGCAUCAUCACAUCAUUUCAAAAAUAUGGUAGUGGGAUGUCAACAGGCCGGUGUUGGAGUACAACCUCCCACUCCCUAUGAGAUAAGAAACAAAUAUUUGGAUAUGGAGUAUAAAGACAUUGGCGAGUAUGUUAACAAGUUGAGGUCAAAGUGGGAAACUAAUGGUUGCACAAUCAUGUGUGACGGAUGGACCGGCCCGACCAGAUUAUCUAUCAUCAACUUCAUGGUAUAUACUCCAAGGGAAAGACAAUUUUUUUUAAGUCUGUUGAUGCUUCAGACCAUAUAAAGAAUUACAAGUAUAUUUACAAAUUAUUGAGGGAUGUAAUCAUGGAGGUGGGAGAGCAUAAUGUUGUCCAAGUCGUGACCGACAACGGUUCUGCAUUUGUCAAAGCUGGAAAAAAGUUAAUGAAGCAUCAUAAUGUGUUUUGGACAUCAUGUGCAGCACAUUGUAUUGAUCUCAUGUUUGAGGCAAUGGGGAAGAGAGAGAAUGUUGCUACUGUGGUCAAAAGAGCUAGAACGAUCACAAAUUAUAUUUACAAUCACGGUUGGUUGUUGGCAAAGAUGCGUGAAUUUUGCAAGAGGAGAAAUUAUUCGUCCAGCUACCACUCGAUUCGCCACCAACUAUAUUGCAUUAAACAACCUACUCAAGAAGAAAGCAGGGUUGAAGCAACUAUUCACUAGUGACGAUUGGGCCAACCACAAUUUCAGCCGCUCAAAUACAGGUCGUAUGGUGGAAAGUAUAGUGCUUGAUCAUGCUUUUUGGACUCAAACAGAACAUGUGUGUCAAGUGUUUGAACCUCUUUACAAAGUUUUACGGAUCGUUGACACAGAAGUGUAUCCUACUAUGGGGGCAGUAUAUGAGUUGAUGCGUGUAGUGAAGGAUGAAUUGGAAAGAAAACAUGGUGCAAGGUGGGUCAUAAAAAUAAUUGAAGACCGAUAGUAUAAAACAUUAUACCACGAUUUGCAUGCAGCAGGUAUAAAUUAUGUCAUAAUUUGCAAUUCAUUUCUUUAGUUGCAUAAGUAUUAUUUCUCUUUAUUAGAGUAUGUGUUUCUUUGAACAGCAUAUUAUUUGAAUCCCCGAUACCAAUACAGACCCGGUGUUGGAGAUGAUGGUGACCUUAUACGUGUUGUACAUAAUGUAUACUCUAAAUUAGACCCUGCAUCACCAGCAGUUGGCCAAUUUGGAAAUGAGGUACACAAUUACUUAAUUUAUAAUAAUUACUUUGUUGGAUUAAACUAACACAAUUUAUUGUAUUCAGCUAACAUGGUUUAAAAAUGCAAGAAGAACAUUUGGAGAACCAACAUCAGUUGCUGCUCGAACAAAUAUGUCUCCUAGUGAGUAUAAACAUAUUUCACUAUAAGUUUAUAAUAGAAUUUUUGCACCCAAGACCAAGAAACACUGGAAUUCCACCUUCUUCCAAUCCUACACAACCACAACAUCGUGCUCAUACUAAUGAUAGCUCUAGUACAAGAUCAGGAGACUCACCUACCACCGGAGGUGGGAAUGAUGAAGGACAUAGUGGAGCUGGAGGUAGUGGAGUUGGAGGUAGUGGUGGUGGAUAUGGAAACUAUUAUGGACCACCACCUCCCGGAUAUAUGAGCCCCUUCACUGGUGAGGCAAACUUCACGCAUGCAACACAGGAUGAUGACCAUGGCAGUAGGCGGGCAGGACCAGGAAUUGGUGCCAUAGGGAAGGACUAUACUCGCAGAGAAAGAGGCAAGGGGAUUUUUGUCAAGUCAAGAAGAUGACUCGUUAUCUAGAACUUCAGACUCUGUUGGAUUGGGAAGUAGUAACUAUGGUUAUACUCAUAACCAACCAUUUCCCUACCCUUCAUAUCCCAUUCCUGUUGGGAUAGAAUCGAGCGACUCAUGGAAACAAUCCCAGCCUCAAUCUUCAAAUGAUUUUUCUUAUGGACAACCUCAACAAAUCUCGGAUCCAUAUGGGUGGCAUAUUAACAAUUACAUGCAAAACUAUUUUGAGGAUUUAUCAUUUGAUAACUACUUUUCAUAAUACACUCAUUCUACACAUAGAGAUGAUGAAGAUAGUGAAAAAUUUGAACCUCAUAGGAACUCUCUGUGGUACUAAAGUGUAAAAUAUUGUACUAAUUCAUUAUAUAUAAAUGAUUAUGUGUGUUUAGACUUCUUUCAUUAAUUACUACAUAUUUUCUACACUCACAAUAUUUGUCAGAUCGCUAUAUAAUCAACUUGAUAAUGUUAAAUCCCUCAUGCAAUCCAUUUCCUUCCAAUUUUUUGUGAUAAACUAAUAGAUAAUUAACUAAAUAAACAUCCUACAAAGUUUCAAUAAAAAUUUCCAAGUUUUUCUUACAAUUUCCGUGGUUUCCAUGUAAUUUUUAUCGAUAUCGAUAUUUUACCGAUAUUUUCGUCGAUAUUUCCGUGUUUUCGGACUACCGAUAUUUCCGAUAUUACCGAUAUUUUCUUCCUUGGUCAUGCAUUGGGGUCCAUUUGGAAUGAGGAGAUUUCAAACCUCGAUCCAAUAUUUUUAUGAUUUCAUAUAAUAUGGCAUGCUUAUUUAUACAUAAUAGGAACAAGAAUAAUUUCGAUUCUUCAGUUUCACGCGUUUACUAAAACAGGACAUGUUGUAUUUAUAGAGAAUAAGAAUUAAAACAUUUCGACGAGCUCACUACUAGUUUUAUAGGUUUUCUUAAUUAACUCAAUCAUAUAGUAAAAAUUCAAAUCAUUAUGUUUUAAUCACUCCAUCCACGUGGACCCUUAAAUUAUACCGGUACUGAAAUAGGUUUAAAAUCACUGUUCACCUACAAUGAAAUGACUGUUUUGCGCCUAUUUCACUCUACCUAUAAUAUGAUUAUCUUUCCUCAUAUUACCAUCAUCUUCUUUCACUUCUCUUAGACCAUCUCCAACCCUUGAGCUAAAAGCCAAAUUUUUUAGCCCGGAAAAUUUAACUUUUAGCCCAGAAAUAUCUUUUCUGCUCCAACCCUUCUACCCUAAAAUUUUAGCCCGGAAUUAUUAAAGAAUGAAAUUAGCCUAAAUUUUUUUCUUAAAUCAAUUUUUUUUUAAAAAUAAAUAUGUAGAUUAUUAUAAAUUAAUUUUAUGAACAUUUUAAUAUAAAAAAAUUUAAAUUCCGAUAAACAUUUCACAUUUAGCCCGGGGGAAAGCUGGGGGGUAUUUGACCCAAAAAUAGCAUUUGGCAUUUAGCCUAAAAUUUUAGCAUGAGUUGGAGAGUGUUUGGGGUAAUUUGGCUUUUAACCCAGAGUUGGAGAUGAUCUUACACUUUACUUUUUAUCUUUUUCUUUAUAUAAAAAGUUAUAUAAAAAUGUUAAUAUAAUUUAAUCAUAAUUGUCUAAAUAAAACAGGAGAUAAAGGAAAAGAUAUUAGAAGGGAAAAGAAUUUUACAGCGCUCCCGAAUUCUUAAUUCCACCUCUCUCGAUGAAAACACUACGACCAGAAAACCUCAUCAAGUUGACCAAAAAAAAAAGGGUCUCUCCUCUCAACCUGCUAUUCCAUCUCUCUCGCAGCGGAAGUGAGAUUCGUUCAAGGUAAUUCCAGUUCAGAAGGACAAAUUUUUCCAAUUUCUGGGUUUCUUUUUGCUUCUGUUCUGUUAAACUCAUCCUGAAGUUAUUUGUUCAAAGACUAAGUAUUGUUGUUCAAUUAAAGAUUUUUGGGUUUCUUUUUGCUUCAUUUCUGUUAAAUUACUCAUCUUGAAGUUAAUUUUGUUCAAAAACUAAAGUAUUCUUCUUCAAUUAAUCUUACAAGAAAGCACAUGAGAACGUGGCACACUAGAUGUUCGAUGAAAAGUGUCAAUAUUUCAAUUUCUAAUUUCUGUGUAUAUAAUUUGUGACGAAGCAGAACGAGUAAAGCCAGCAGCUGUGAUUUGUAAAGUGGAAGAUUGGAUGUGUUGAUGUGUGGCAUGCUCUAAUUAGGUAUAUUUUUGUGUAGUAAGAAAGCCAUAGAGAGAGAGAGAGUCGCGUUUUUUUUUUUUUUUUUUUUUUUUUUCGGAUUAGGUUGAUGUUUCAGUCGUAAACUUGAUUAAGCAAUGAAAGUUGAGGACAUACAAGUGACACAUGUAAUUGGGAAUUUGUAAGUUACAUGCAAAGCUCAUGGAAAGUAAGCUUUUGUAAUGUGUCUCUAAUGUCUACUCUACAACGAUUGUCUUCGAACACUGUUGUCACAUUUUUGGGGAGAAAUUUCAAAGUAAGGUGUUAAUGUCUGAUGUAAGACUAUGUUGAAAUUUCGAAGUAAAACGUUUAUUUAAUUGUUUCGUUUUUUAUAUGAAAAAACAUUUACUAUUGAAAUUUUUCAUGGUGCCUUGUUUUAUAAAAGAUUCAGGGCGGGAAUGAUUUAGAUUUCAUUGAUUGGCAUCGUUUUUCAAGUUUUGUCUGUGCUUUUGUUUGUAGGAUCAACUUGCAAAAGAACAUAGCAGAGAACAAACAUUGUCAAUUUAUUUGUUGAAGUAUUGCAGCUAUCUGCACGACUCCAACAAGCCACACCAAGCAUACAAUGGAAAGCUCCAUCUCCCUCUUUCCCUCCCUCCAUUUUCUUCUUAUGAGUUUCCUGCUAACAUCAAUUUGUAUAUCGAUAAAAUACGAUUUGAACAACUCUUUAUAUGUAUAUAGAGUUGUCAACAACUACUGUAUAUUUAUAUAUAUAUAUACUUUGGCACUCGUUUUGGCACACCAUCUAAAAGAUUAUGGUGGUGACGGAAAAUUCACAAUUGGAACUCAGUAAACAAAGCAAAAUGAGGAUCUUGUCUCACGGUUUAGAACAGUUCAAAUUUAUCACUGUAUCUUUGAUCCCAGCGAAAACUAUUGGCAUGUAAACUCCCUCCCGAGACGUAAAUGAGUGAACCUUCAAGGUCACAAAUCACAAUUCAUAGUCUUGUUUAUUAGCAAGUUCAGUACACGAAUUUCCUCAUUUAUCAUACAAUUCAAAAGCUUAAGAUCUUUGACCACUCAGCUUUAUGGGUUUCGCGCCUGAAGAGACGACAAACCAAUGACAACAGCCAGUGCCAAAGAUCUGCUCUGGCUUUUCCUCGCCUAAAUAGCGCUUUGACAUUGUUUUCAUCCCCUGCCAGUACCUGCGAGCAUUCAUUCAUCCAAUUACAGUUAACACAGUUGCAUUGACAAUUUAAGGGUAUUCAUGAUGAGGUAAAUAUCUGCCAACUCCAAGCGAAACAGAAAAAUCAAAUAAUAGACGUUAGUUGCCUUGACAAUGUACGGGUAUUCAUGAAAAAGGUAAAUAUCAGCCGACUCCAUACUACGCAGAAAAAUCUAAUAUUAGACGUUAGUUGCAUUAACAAUUUUAAGUCAUAACAGCCAUAUAGUUUGAACAACAGGAUGAAGCAUGGUUAGUAACAUACCAAAGAGACCGUCCGAGUACCACAGGACCUAAAAUUCGAUUAUUGACUGAAGCAUGGUUAGUAAUAGGUUUUGUAACGGUAGUUUUAUGAAACAUUCAAAACAAUAAUGUAGAGGACUUAUUGAAGUUAAUUAUGAGUUAUUGAUAGACCUGUUGUACUCCUAAUAGAUGGAAUAAACCCACAUCUCGCUCUUUAGCCUUGCUCUUACGAGGGAACAGGUCACUUUCAUGCUGGAUUAAGAAUUACUCUUUUCAGUAGCGUGUACGUAUCAUACAUACAAGAGUAGCAUUUUGGUAUUGAAAAUGAAGAACAGUAGCUUUUUGAAGUGCGAGAUUGUGUCUGAAGUUAAAUUUUUUGAUGAUUGGCUAUCCCGCCUUCUCUGGCUUUUCAGAACUGGGGAGGAUAAUAAGUGUUUUUAUGUUUUGAGCAAUUUUUCUUUGUUACAAGCUUCUCUCUUUCAUCCUCCUAAUCAUUGUGUUUGGUUAAUGCUUGGAGUUUUAGUUGUUUUGAACAUGAGUUUCUCUUCAGAAAUGUUUUAAUUCGGGGCUCUCUUUAUGUUCACUAGUUAAUCACCCAAGCAUGUUGGCAUGAUGGCGAAUUUCUUGGGAAGUUGUGAGGUGUCGAAUGACUAAACAGGUCCAGUAAAGUAUAGAUUUAAGAAAUGACCAAAUAUAGAAUCUAGUAUUGAUAGAAAAUCACUAAGAGUGCCGAAGAUUUUUUUAUCUACACUGAAGAGAACACUCUUGAUAUGUUGUAAUGCAGUGGGCAAAGAGAUUGAGUAGAAAAUAGGAUGUAUUCCAACUGACAUUCAGAAAUGAGUACCCAAUUAAAGUUCCUAGUCCGUCGCUUGCACCAGGUAGGGUUCCGAUGAAGUUUUUCGUGGCCGUGACUGUAUCAAGUUCUAUUUCUGGAAAUAGAGAAGAGUGUAGAAAACUUAUUAUGUUGUAGUCUGCAAAGUCAGCCUUGGCACUGAUGUAAAUUGAAGUAAACUUCACUAGGAAGUUGGUUUAGCAUAUAGUGAUCGAGGCACUAAUGUAUUUGCUUUCAUUUCAUUUCCUUGUUUCUACUUUAUCUUUUGUCGUAAAAAAAUUUACAAUCCAAAAUAGGAGGUUUUUCGAACUGGCCUUCCGAAAUGAGCAGCAAAGAAUAAGUUUCUAUUCAAUUUCGAGCACCAGUUGGGUUUCCGUAUGAGUUUUUGUAGCCAUGGUAAAAUGUCAAGUUCGGCCUUGGCACUGAUGCAAACGGGUUAACUCCCACUCACACUCCAGUUCAAUAUGAUCGACGUAAACAUGUUCAAGUUAAUCAACAUUUUAAUUUAUUUGACUUUUUGUAAAGUAUGAGGAUCAACUGACAAACUUUCCAAUUGAGUUUAUCAUAGCUCACUAGAAAAAGAUGGGCAUUGAUUUGUGCACUCCUCAACUGAGGUUACUUAGGGCCUAUUUGGAAUCUUAUUUUGUCUAAUUUUUUGUUUAAAUAAAUAAUAAAUGUAGCUAAAUUACUUAAUACGCAUUAGUUUCAAAACAAAAAAUUGGAUAAAAAUAUAAUACCAAACAUCCCCUUACAUAUGAGUUAGUUUGAGCAAGAGGUUUCUAUAUCUCAAGAGAUUGACGCCAAAUUAGUAAGAGAUGGAUUGCAAAAUGUGAGAUUGGAGAGAUUAGACCAUUACAAAAGCAUGUAAGAGGGUUUUGGAUGCAGUUGAAUAUCAGAGUGCGCAACGAACGAGACUAACAAAAUAAUAGAAAUAUUAUUAAACAACCGAGAAUGCCGGAACGGCUACAAAACCCUAAGAGAUUACAUUGUGACUAACUUGAUUUCGAAUGAAUAACAAAGCACUUUAUUUAUAAUAAACUAACCCUAAACCCUAAUGCUAACGGGCUAAGCCCAGAAAACCAAAUAUUAAGUAAACCUAAAUACUAAUAUUUUCCAACACCCCCGUCAAACUCAUGGCGGUAUACGACAUGGGUUUGCAAACAAGCAGAUGCGGACUGGCUCCGUUAGGCGGACAGACAGACAGGCAGGCUCUGCCGCAACGCGGACAGACAGACAGGCAGGUAUGCAAACUUGACUUGACUUGACUUGCGAACUGGUGAACUUGCGAACUUGACUUGACUUGACUGGCAAACUGGCAAACUGGCUAGUAUUGAAAGUAUGGAGAGAACCCAUCAAUAAACGGACGAUAUUUCCAUAUCUCAAUUGUACCAACAAACAAACAACGCCUACAACUUGUGUGGGCCAUCAAACCAAAAAAUGGGUUGCAAACAGCCAACUGCCCGUGUGGGCCAAAACAAACAGCCAAUUUUAUUUAUUUUUUUGUUCUUUUUUCUUUCUUCCUUCUCUUUGUUUUUUCUUUUCUCCUUCCUUUCAACCACUCUUUCUGGGCUGUGGUUUUCUAACAAACAAAACAACUGCGAGUGCAGUGAUUAGAUGGAGGUGCGCAUACAGUGGGUAUGAGGAUGGCGUUGGACAGAACAGCAGCAAACUGGUGGGGUGUGGGGGCGACAGUGACUGGGUGCAAGUACGGUGCUGGUUCUGGGUUUCCGACUGACAACGAAGGAUGAAUGGUCGCUGCGAUGCGGGUGCUGAAUAAACAAACUCCAAACUUCCUUUUUUUUUUUUUUUUUUUUCUCAACUGGGCUUCUUCAUACCUGCAAAACAAGCACAGCAGAUGCAGGUUUGGAGGCAUGACAGGGUUGCGGCGGGACGAUUAGGCAGGAAAGGGGAUGCGGGUACCAUGCAAAGACAAGGCAGUGGUGGGUAGAUCUGAUUCUGCGAUGGUGAUGGCAAUGGUUUGCGGAUCAGAAAGGCGGCGGAUCAGCGGGGGUAACCUACGGGUUCAAUCUUCAAGUUGCUGGCGGCAUGGUGUGGGGUUGAUGCGAGUGAAGUAACAAGGCACAGAUGCAGACGGGUCGAACUUUUUCCAGGCUUUUUUUUUUCUACCAACAAUCAAACACAACUAGACAUUCCGAACACGACAAAAACAAGCAAACAGAUACCAACCAAAGCAGAUUAAAUCCCGAAGAAUGAAACCUGCUCUGAUACCAAGUUGAAUAUCAGAGUGCGCAACGAACGAGACUAACAAAAUAAUAGAAAUAUUAUUAAACAACCGAGAAUGCCGGAACGGCUACAAAACCCUAAGAGAUUACAUUGUGACUAACUUGAUUUCGAAUGAAUAACAAAGCAUUUUAUUUAUAAUAAACUAACCCUAAACCCUAAUGCUAACGGGCUAAGCCCAGAAAACCAAAUAUUAAGUAAACCUAAAUACUAAUAUUUUCCAACAGUGUAGGUAUUCAGUUUUCCAACAUAUUGUUAGCAAAACACAGUGUAUAAGUAAAUACAUAUUAAUUGCUUGGUAAGGAAAAAUCUAGAUUAAAUCAUGAUCAUAGGAUUGUUAUCAAUUGUCAAUAUUAAAUAUAUGUUAAUGAUACAAUGUCGCAUGACUUGAGCUGACUUUAAUUUAACCAAAAAUCAUAUAACAACUUUAUUUAAUGAAAAGGAUAUAAAAAUUAAUGAUGAGGACAAGCUAAAAGAAAACAAGCUUAAAUAAAGGGCCACAAACUGGAACUAAGUCCAGCGUGCAAAACAUUUUUUCUUUUUCAAUCCAUGCCACUGACGGAACAUUACCUUCCAUCAGCCCAAAUCGUUAAAUUUUGAAUUUCAAACAGGAACUAAGUCCAGCGUGCAAAACAUUUUUGCUUUUAACGAUGACGGAACAUUACCAAAUCGUUAAAUUUUAAAUAAAGGCAAACUGGAACUAAGUCCAGCAUGCAAAACAUUUUUUCUUUUUCAAAUCCAUGCCACUGACGGAGCAUUACCUUCCAUCAGCCCAAAUCGUUAAAUUUUGAAUUUCAAACAGGAACUAAGUCCAGCAUGCAAAACACUGCUUUGAAGCUCAUGUCGACUUAUUGACCAAAAGACUUGGAGAGCUUGUUCAUCCAUCACAUGUCGACUUAUUCUUUGCUCAUGGACCAAAAGAUUGCUUUGAAGCUCAUCAAUAGAUAAGGUGUCCAGUGUUGGAAUAUAUUAGUAUUCUAAGUAUUAUAUUGUUUGAGUUUUCUUAUAAGUUUAGUUUGGGCUUAACCUGUUAGCAUUAGUGUUAGGGUUAGAGUUAGUUUAUUAUAAAUAGCAUGCUUGUUAGUCAGUUGAGAACAAGCUAUUCACAAUGUAGUCUCUUAGGGUUUUGUAGCCGUUUCGGCAUUCUCGUUUAUUUAAUAAUAUUCUUAUUUUGUUAGUCUUGUUCGUUGCGCACUCUGAUAUUCAACUUGGUAUCAGAGCAGGUUUCAUCAUUCGGGAUUUAAUCUGCUUUGGGUUGGUAUUCGUUUGCUUGUGUCCGUUGUCGUUCAUGUUCAGAUUGUCUAGUUGUUUUUUACAGUUUGCAAGGAAAAACAAUGUGUUAAUUUUUUUCAGUUGUGUUGACGGCCUGCUGUUUCGCCGCCGUCGUCGACCACCACCCAUUGCCAGACCCACCUGAACAAUCCACACCUGACCCAUCUCUGUCAAGCCGUACUAGAUCCUUUUGCACCACUUUGAUCCGCACCUAUUAAACCUGCAUCUCGCUCGCCUCGAACCAGCCUCGCCACCUGCUUGAAUCUCCCGCGCCGACCCAUCACCUGCAACUCAGUCCUAAAUCUCUUCGUCCUCGCUGCACUUGCUCGCACCCACCAAGCACCAGCACCGACAGAACCAUACAUGCUCCAUUCGAACCAGACCACCAGCCAUCCUCGUACCUUGCACACCUCCAUUUGAAUCUGUUGCACUCCCUGUACCCGCAUCCUCGCCGCUGCUUGAACCGCUGCACUACUUCCGCAAGCCCAGACGACAUGACCUGCUUCCUGUUGCUAGAAUCACCGAAGCCCGUAUCUGCACCUGCGUUUGUUUUGCACGAAUUGAGCAUAGAAAAGGGUUAAAAAAAAAGGAAAAAAAAAGUUAUGGAGCCCACGAUCCGUUGGCUAUUACAAUUUGUUUGAAGUAAUAGUAAUUUGUUUGUUCGUUUGUUGCUACAAUUGAGAUAUGGAAAUCUCGUCCGUUUAGUGACGGGUUCUUUCUAUACUCUCAACACUAGCCAAUUUGAACUAGAAUUAGUUUGCCAACAAGAAUCAAGAAUCAAGAAUCAAUUGUAGAUUUGCCAGUCAAGUCAAGUCAAGAAUCAAGUCAAGUCAAGUUAAGUAAAGAAUCAAGAAUCAAGUCAAGUCAAGUCAAGUCAAGUUUGCAUGCCUGCCAGUCCGCCUAACGGAGCCAGUCCGCAUUUGCUUGUUUGCAAACCCAUGUCGUAUACCGCCAUGAGUUUGACGGGGGGUGUUGGAAUAUAUUAGUAUUCUAAGUAUUAUAUUGUUUGGGUUUUCUUAUAAGUUUAGUUUGGGCUUAGCCUGUUAGCAUUAGGGUUAGGGUUAUAGUUAGUUUAUUAUAAAUAGCAUGCUUGUUAGUCAGUUGAGAACAAGCUAUUCACAAUGUAGUCUCUUAGGGUUUUGUAGUCGUUUCGGCAUUCUCGUUUAUUUAAUAAUAUUCUUAUUUUGUUAGUCUUGUUCGUUGCGCACUCUGAUAUUCAACUAGAUCGUUGGAUUCCUCAAUGGAGCAAACUACAUAAUCAUAUUUCGGGGUCAUGGACCUCAAAAUUUUCUCUAUGAUUACCACAUCAUCCAUCUUCUCCCCAUGAAUUCUCAUCAUGUUUGCUAUAGCAAGUGUUCUCCCAAAAUAAUCAUUGACUGUUUCUCCAUUCUUAAUGUGCAGCACCUCGAAUUCCUUGCGAAGAGCCUGCAGUUGAGCACGUUUUACACGUGCAGUUCCCUGAUAUUUUUGUUUCAAAGAAUCCCAUAUAUCCUUCACAGUAUCCUUCUUCAUGAUGGUCUCCAAUAUUAACCGAUCUAUGGCUUGGAACAAAUAGUUCUUAGCCUUCAAGUCCUUCAGCUUCAAGUCAUCCAGAGUCUUCUUCUGUACUUCACUGGAUUCCAAACCUCCUGCAGCAGUGAUCCCAAACUCCACCAAGUUCCAAUACUCUUGGAACGAAGAAAGUUUUCCAUCAGCAUACUCCAAUGGUCGUAGUGUCCAUCGAACCUUGGAAUGACUGGUUGCACAAAACUGUUCUCAGACGCCAUGUCUUGUUUCUUCACUCUAGCACCUAGGUUGCAAGCUUUUGAUCAGGCCCCGUAGUGGGGCUCUGAUGCCAAAUGUUAGAACCAAGAAAAACGCAGGAGUUUCUGCAAUGCAACACUAGAGAGCUUUCAUGAAAUCAGGGAGAAUUUCUUAUUCAGUGAAAACUACCAUCAUGGCUAUUACACUUGAACUGAAAGGAAAUAACAACUGCCCACGAUUUUACAGUUCCUAUAAUCGUGGUAAAGACUACGUCAAAACAGAAAAUGCAUAGUUAUCCCUCAAGAAUAGGGAUUAUUGAAUAACAACCCUUAAAACUAGGAAUCCUAGCUAUACGGGGAACCCUAGCAGUAACGAAAAACCCUAACAACUUUAACAUGGUGAGGCUUAUGUUACUGUUGAUGGGUUUGGUUAACAGGGUUUUCAUUCCUUUUCAGAUUUGUUUCGACACACACUUCUCGAAAUUUGCAAGAUGCUAUGUGAUAUAAUCAAAUGAACAAUUUGAUGUCAGUAGUUUGAGGGAUCUGACCGCAACACACAGCAGCAGCGAUGGGGGAGGAGAAGCGGCACCAGUUGAUGCAGAACCUAUUCGGUGAUCAAUCUGAAGAGGAAGAGGAAGAGGUUGAUUCCGAGCAUGAGUCCAAUCCCCAGCCCAAUUCUGUAUGAUUCUCUAAUUUCAAGUUUCCUAUCUAUUCUGAUUCCAAAAGCAUGUUUGGGAAUGAUAAGGGUUUCAAUUUCUGCUUUAAUCUUUUAGCUGAAGGAAGAUAUAGGUUGUUUUUCUGUUAAUGGCGGUGGAUGAUUUGGAUGAAAGUGUGAAUCUUGGCGAUUUUUUUUGCUUGCAGUUGUUUAGGCCUAACUCCGCCUAUGUCUUACAUGGCCGGUCCCAAGCCCGGAUAAAAGAGGAGGGGGAGGGCGUCAGGUAGUCGACAGCCGGCACUCCAUGAUCACGUCGAAUCCUUAUGAAAAUGAAUCCAGAACAAAAUCGCGCUAAAGCUAGGGCGUCACCCGUAAGUGGCGCGCUGUGUGGCCCGAGCACAGUGAUAAGUGAGCAAGGGUCGCUGUAUCUCCAUCGGCACCCGGAUGCAGUGUUAAAUGAGCAAGGGGGCCAUAGAAACUUCUUUUCGAACGACUCCACUCAAAGUUGUUUGGGAGCAUAUGCUCCUAUCAACUUUACCCGGGACACACAAAAGAAGUACUUUGAUCCUAUUAGACGGGGGAGGGUGAAGAAGCUAGGACAGAAGGGUAGAGUUUAAGAGAGCAAAAUGCGUUUAGGAACGUGGAAUAUAGGAACCUUAACGGGAAAAUCUAUGGAAGUAGUGGAAGUUAUGGUGAGGAGAAGGAUAAAUAUUAUGUGCCUACAAGAAAACUAAGUGGGUUGGUAGUAAGGCAAAGGAUCUAGAAAACUCAGGGUUUAAACUUUGGUAUUCGGGCACAAAUAGAACGAGAAACGGUGUUGGCAUCAUCGUGGACAAGACCUUGGUACAAGAUGUUGUAGAUGUCAAGAGGGUCGGAGAUAGAAUCAUGGCAAUCAAGAUUGUAAUAGGACAAGAACUUAUCAAUGUGAUUAGUGCGUACGCACCUCAAGUAGGGUUGGAUACGAGUUCAAAGGAGAAAUUUUGGGAAGAUCUUGGAGACUUGGUGCAAGGAAUUGCUCAGACGGAGAAGUUAUUUAUAGGAGGAGAUUUAAAUGGACACGUGGGCAGGGAGACAGGCAACUAUGGAGGUUUUCAUGGUGGCCAUGGUUUUGGGGAGAGAAACGAGGAUGGGGAAGCUAUCUUGGAUUUUGCAAUGGCAUAUGAUCUCUUCUUAGCCAACACCUUCUUUAAGAAGAGAGAAGAACAUGUGAUCACCUACAAGAGUGGAUCGUCAAAAACACAAAUAGAUUUUCUUCUAAUGAGGAAAGGGGAUCGUAUAACUUGUAAGGAUUGCAAAGUUAUACCAGGAGAGAGCGUGGCUAAUCAACAUCGCUUGUUGGUGAUGGAUGUACAUAUCAAAAGAGUAAGACAAAAGAACAAGACUUGGAAGUGCCCAAGGACUAGAUGGUGGAAUCUAAAAGAAGAAAAACAAGUCAUUUUCAAAGAGAAGGUAAUCACCCAAUGUGUGUGGAAUAGAGAGGGGGAAGCUAGCCAAAUGUGGGAUUCCAUGGCUAGUUGUAUCCGAAAAGUAGCAAAAGAGGUAUUAGGAGAGUCCAAGGGCUUUGCCCCACACCAAAAGGAAUCUUGGUGGUGGAAUGAGGAGGUACAAACAAAGGUGAAGGCUAAGAAGGAAUGCUGUAAAGCCUUAUACAAGGAGAGGACCGAUGAAAAUGGUGAAAGGUAUAGAAAAGCGAAGCAAGAGGCGAAGAAAGCUGUCAGAGAAGCUAAGUUAGCGGCUUACGACGAUAUGUAUAAACGACUAGAUACCAAAGAAUGAGAGUUGGAUAUCUAUAAACUAUCUAGAGCAAGGGAAAAGAAGACAAGGGACCUAAACCAAGUGAGGUGCAUCAAGGAUGAGGAUGGAAAGGUUCUUGCUACAGAGAACGCGGUUAAAGACAGAUGGAGAGGUUAUUUUCAUAAUCUUUUCAAUGAAGGACAUGAAAUGAGUGCUUCUUUAGGGGAGUUGAGUAACUCAGAAGAGUGUAGAAACUACUCUUUUUAUCGUCGAAUCCGGAAGGAAGAAGUGGUUGUAGCUUUGAAGAAGAUGAAGCAUAAAAAAGCAAUAGGCCCAGACGAUAUACCAAUUGAAGUGUGGAAACUUUUGGGAGAGACAGGUAUAACAUGGCUCACUGACCUUUUCAAUAGGAUUUUGAAAACGAAGAAGAUGCCAAAUGAGUGGCGAACGAGCACUUUGGUGCCUAUCUACAAGAAUAAAGGCGACGUACAAAAUUGCAUGAACUAUAGGGGUAUUAAGCUAAUGAGUCAUACAAUGAAGCUCUGGGAGAGAGUCAUUGAGCAUAGAUUGAGGCAAGAGACACGGGUUUCGGACAACCAAUUCGGGUUCAUGCCAGGGCGCUCAACCAUGGAGGCAAUCUAUCUUUUACGAAGAUUGAUGGAAAGAUAUAGAGAUGGGAAAAAAGAUUUACACAUGGUCUUUAUAGAUUUGGAAAAAGCGUAUGAUAGGGUCCCAAGAGACAUUCUUUGGAGGAUUUUAGAGAAGAAAUGAGUACGAGUAGCAUAUAUCCAAGCUAUAAAGGAUAUGUAUGAAGGAGCAAAGACUGCCGUAAGAACUCAUGAAGGACAAACCGAAAGCUUUCCCAUAACUGUAGGAUUACAUCAAGGCUCAUCCUUAAGUCCUUACCUUUUUACGUUGGUAAUGGAUGAGUUAACAGGACAUAUUCAAGAUGAUAUUCCUUGGUGUAUGCUUUUCGCAGACGAUAGAGUGUUGAUAGAUGAAACUCAGGAAGGGGUAAAUGCAAAGCUUAACCUUUGGAGAGAAGUGUUGGAAUCUAAAGGUCUUCGCCUAAGCCGAUCAAAGACAGAAUAUAUGGAGUGCAAGUUCAGUGCAAAUGGAGGCCAAAACGAGUUAGGGGUGAGGAUCGGAGAUCAAGAAAUACCAAAGAGCGACCGUUUUCGUUACCUAGGAUCUAUCUUGCAAAAGAACGGAGAAUUAGAUGGAGAUCUCAACCACCAUAGAAUACAAGCUGGAUGGAUGAAGUGGAAGAGUGCAUCCGGCGUGUUAUGUGACCGCCGUAUGCCACUGAAGCUCAAAGGAAAAUUUUAUAGGACGGCAAUAAGGCCGGCGAUGCUGUAUGGCACAGAAUGUUGGGCGGUGAAACAUCAACACGUACACAAAAUGGGUGUAGCGGAGAUGAGGAUGCUUCGUUGGAUGUGUGGGCACACGAGAAAGGAUAAGAUUAGGAAUGAGGAUAUCCGGGGUUAAAGUAGGAGUAGCCGAAAUUGAAGGAAAGAUGAGAGAAAUCGGUUACGGUGGUUUGGGACAUGUGUGGACAUGUGCAAGAAGGCCUACUGACGCUUCGAUUAGAAGAUGCGACUAUGGGACAGAGGUUCAGGGCCGAAGGGGUAGAGGAAGACCUAGGAAAACUUUGGAAGAGACUCUAAGAAAAGACUUAGAGUACUUGGAUCUAACGAAGGACAUGACACAGGAUCGAGCGCAAUGGCGUUCUAAGAUUCAUAUAGCCGAUCCCACUCAGUGACUUGGAUUUUCCAAGUCUCCAACCAAGAAGUUUUCCUCACUUGAAAAAUUAAGGGAACACUACCCCAACCUACAUGCUCCACUCAGAAAGCUUCAACAUACAAGCUUCAACAAAAGAAAAUUCAAAGAACUUAGCGAAGAAGGCUUUGGUGUAUUUAACACAAUACGUUGAAAUGAAGGAAAGCUUAUUUAUUGAUAUCCCCGAUAAGCUACAAAUAUGUCCAUAUACAUGAAUCAAAAUAAACACACAAGAGGGAGCCUUCACAAAGGUUGCUUAGGAGAAGUCUGAGCAGUCGGUAGAGCUCCAGAAAGAGAAGGCACCGGAGGGGGAUCAUUUGGAGCCUCAGUACUGGACAGAACCUUAGAAGGAGGAGGCAUCAGAGGUUGAUCAUUUGGAGCUUCAUUACGCACUACAGCCCCAGAAGACGAAGGCAAUAAAUGCCUUUGGAACAAACCCACAAAUCUCUGAUGAUCAAGUAAAACCUGACCAUCAGUUUCCUUCAUCUGGUCAAGCUUCCUCUUCAUGUUUGUAGCAUAGUCAUGUGCGAGCCGGUGCAACUGUUUAUUCUCAUGCUUGAGCCCCCUAAUCUCCUGUUUGAGACUCAUCACUUCAGCCGCCAAUGAUUCAACUUGGCGGGUUCGAGCAAAUAGGCGUUGGGCCAUAUUAGACACAGAACCUGCACACUGAACACUAAGAGCCAGCGAAUCCUUAACAGCUAACUCAUCAGACCGUUUGGAAAGUAGUCUGUUAUCUUUGGGAGUGAGAAGGUUCCUGGCCACCACCGCAGCGGUCAUAUCAUUCUUCAUCACGGAAUCCCCAACGGUAAGAGGACCAGUAGGGGAGACGAAGGAUGGGCGCCAUAUGUUGUCUGGAGAAGGCGGGGCUGCCUCUUCAACAAGGUUCAAGUCAAAACGACGGUCAGAGGGGCCAGACAUUUUCAAAGGUGUUGAAGAGAGAAGAGGUCGGACAAAUCAAGAUCUUAGAAGUGCAAGAAUGAAGCUUCUACUGGUGGAGAUUCAAGUGUGCUUUGGAACUUAAUGCUUGAUUUAGCCCCUAUAAAAAUCUGCACUCGACGGAGCUUCAGAUAUCGAAGAGGCGCCUGCUCAGAAAUCGAAGAGGCGCUUUUCUUUGAUUCGAAAGCUCAGGCUGGCUUUGAGAAUCAAAGAGAAUCUCAGAAAUCGAACAGGCGUUUGCUUUCUCAAAAGUUGGGGCUGCUCAAAGACCACGAAAGCCGAUCUCAGAAAUCGAAGAGGCGUUGCUUUCUCAACUUCAAAGACUCACGGGGCCGAUCUCAGAAAUCGAAGAGGCGCUCGCUUUCUCAAAAGCUGGGCUCCCAGAGACCACGAGGGCCGAUCUCAGUAAUCGAAAAGGCACCUACUUUUCCAACCUUGUCAGCACCUGUCACACGCACACUCAGCUUUGCGGAAAUUAUGGGCAUUCUGUCGAAGACUUCUGGGGAAGGUAGAAAACACAUGAAUCUUACUGUUCAAUCACCCACUUCCCACACGCAACAAUAGCUCAUGGGUACCGCAGAUAACUUUGCCAAAGUUCUCUGCCAAAGUUGAGCACGUGAAGCUUGCAGCUCCCACUACAUCGCUCUGACCAAGAAGGGUAAAAGAAUAGCAAAGAAACAGCACUAACAAAGUUUAGACCCAUAAAUUUUGAAGGUCUAGCUACCAUAUUAUUACCCACAAGGGUAAAGGAACAGUACCACUGCUGGAUAAUUGGAAAGUCCCUGUGUGUCAACCUCUGUGCUUCGCGGCAAGAUAGACUAGCAAACAUGCCCAACCUUUACUCACAUUCGAGAAAACACUCCCAAUAAGAUUGCUUGCUCCAAAAUCGAAGAGGCACCGUCCUCCGAAUCUCGAGAACUAAACUCCCAACAUGACUACUUUCUUAAAAAUCGAAGAGAGGGUAAAGGAACAGUACCAUUGCUGGAUAAUUGGAAAGUCCCUGUGUGUCAACCUCUGUGCUUCGUGGCAAGGUGGACUAGCAAACAUGCCCAACCUUUACUCACAUUCGAGCAAACACUCCCAACAAGAUUGCUUGCUCCAAAAUCGAAGAGGCACCGCCCUCCGAAUCUCGAGAGCCAGACUCCCAACAUGAUUACUUUCUCAAAAAUCGAAGAGACAUUGCUCCCCGAAUCUUCGAGAGCCAGACCCCCAGCAUGAUUGCUUUCUCAAAAUCGAUGAGGCAUCGUUCUCCGAAUCAAUCGAAGAGGCGCUCGCUUUCUCAAAAGCUGGGCUGCUCAUAGACCACGAGGGCCGAUCUCAGAAAUCGAAGAGGCACCUACUUUUCUAGCCUUGUCAGCAUCUGUCACACGCACACUCAGCUUUGCAGAAAUUAUGGGCAUUCUGUCGAAGACUUCUGGUGAAGUAGAAAGCACAUGAAUCUUACUGUUAAAUCACCCACUUCCCACACGCAGUAAUAGCUCAUGGGUACCACAGAUAACUUUGCUAAAGUUCUCUGCCAAAGUUGAGCACGUGAAGCUUGCAGCUCCCACUACAUCGCUCUGACCAAGAAAGGUAAAAGAAUAGCAAAGAAACAGCACUAACAAAGUUUAGACACAUAAAUUUUGAAGGUCUAGCUACCAUAUUAUUACCCACAAGUGUAAAGGAACAGUACCACUGCUGGAUAAUUGGAAAGUCCCUGUGUGUCAACCUCUGUGCUUCGUGGCAAGGUAGACUAGCAAACAUGCCCAACCUUUACUCACAUUCGAGAAAACACUCCCAACAAGAUUGCUUGCUCCAAAAUCGUAGAGGCACCGUCCUCCGAAUCUUGAGAGCCAGACUCCCAACAUGACUACUUUCUCAAAAUCGAAGAGAGGGUAAAAUAACAGUACCAUUGCUGGAUAAUUGGAAAGUCCCUGUGUGUCAACCUUUGUGCUUCGUGGCAAGGUAGACUAGCAAACAUGCCCAACCUUUACUCACAUUCGAGAAAACACUCCCAACAAGAUUGCUUGCUCCAAAAUCGAAGAGGCACCGCCCUCCGAAUCUCGAGAGCCAGACUCCCAACAUGAUUACUUCCUCAAAAAUCGAAGAGACACUGCUCUCCGAAUCUCGAGAGCCAGACCCCCAGCAUGAUUGCUUUCUCAAAAAUCGAAGAGGGCAUCGUUCUCCGAAUCUCGAGAGCCAGAUACCACAGACCAUUUUUUCAAAAGUGCUCUGACAGAGUUAAAACAUGUGAAACUGGCAGCUCCCACUACCGUGCUAUGACCAAACAGGGUAAAUGAAUAGCAUUACUACUUGUUGUUAGGAAGACUCCUAUAUAUGUCGACCCCCAUCCCCAACGGACAGGCAGACCUGCAAAAAUGCUCAACCCUUCAUCAUAUCUGAGAGGACACUCCCAACGAAGCCUUUCGAAAUAUUCAGCUUUCUUUCCCCCCGAUAAUACCUCUACAAACAAGCUAUACUAGAGCAAGAAUAUCUCAUAUCAUCAGGGUUAAAAGCAAGAGUAUCCCAUAUCAUGCUUUUUCCCUAUCUUUUCCUUUGGCCUUGUUUUUACCUGCAAGACAAGGAGAAAGAGAGCAAUCAGUCAGCACUUGGAAUCAAGCUUCCAGCCAGGAACUGACUGCCUGGAACCCCUUACCUGAUUACUUACCUGGCAUUGCUCUCGAGUACUCAUCUUCAACAUCUUAUGUUUCCAGGGAAGAUUCCGCAUCUGCUUGAGGAACAGAUAGGGCAAGUGCGAAGGAUAUAAGGAAGCAUGUGGAGACAAGCGUAACAGCACACGUGCCGAUACAUCCAUUACUCUGUCAAAAGCAAAAGUAUCCCAUAUCAGCAGGGUGGAACGUACUCUAGAUUUGAUGGACUUGUUUUGACCCUCAAAUUCUUCAGUCGGCCUUAUACUCUGGAGGAAACCAGAAAACCCUCCAGCUCAGUUCAAGAAUAAGCCUGUGGAAAGUUACUUCUUCAAAAGCAAAAGUAUCUCAUAUCAUCUCUUCUCAUUUUUCUUCUCUUUAUCCUUCAUGCUGCUGCAAGAUGGGGAGAAGGUGAACAAUCAAUCGGAGCUCUGAUUGCUUACCUUGUCUGUCACCUCUUUCAGCAGACUCCUUAGCUCGGCGACUUGGGGGACUCCUACUACAUGGUUUGUAUCGCGCUUGACCAAGCCUGAAACUACAAGUAAGCUUCAAGUGAAAUUGAUACAUUACCUUGUGCAUCUCCACCAGUUAAAGAUACCACCCCUGGAUGGAGGAAGAGUACUUCCAGAGAAGAUGCCACAUCUACCUAUGAGACAGAUAAGGCAAGUCAAGACAACACCAUACUCCGAUACUUAGAAGUUUCGUGAUUACGAGAUCAUUCUCACACAAUAUUUCCUAAUGUCAUUUGUACUAAAUCAUUCACUUGUACUCACUAAAGGAGAGCUUGAACCUAUGUACUUGUGUAAACCCUUCACAAUUAAUGAGAACUCUUCUAUUCCGUGGACGUAGCCAAUCUGGGUGAACCACGUACAUCUUGUGUUUGCUUUCCUAUCUCUAUCCAUUUAUAUAUUUAUCCACACUAAUGACCGGAGCAAUCUAGCGAAGAUCACAAAAAGCGACCGUUUUCGCUACCUAGGAUCUAUCUUGCAAGAGAACGGAGAAUUAGAUGGAGAUCUCAACCAUAGAAUACGAGCUGGAUGGAUUAAGUGUAAGAGUGCAUCCAGCGUGUUGUGUGACCGUCGUAGGCCACUGAAGCUCAAGGGAAAAUUUUAUAGGAUGGCAAUAAGGCCAGCGAUGUUGUAUGGCACAGAAUGUUGGGCGGUGAAGCAUCAACACGUACACAAAAUGGGUGUAGCGGAGAUGAGGAUGCUUCGUGGGAUGUGUGGGCACACGAGAAAGGAUAAGAUUGGGAAUGAGGAUAUCCGAGGUAAAGUAGGAGUAGCCGAAAUUGUAGGAAAGAUGAGAGAAAAUCGGCUCCGGUGAUUUGGACAUGUGCAAAGAAGGCCGACUGACGCUCCGGUUCGAAGAUGUGACUACGGGACAGAGGUUCAGGGCCAAAGGGGUAGAGGAAGACCUAGGAAAAUUUUGGAAGAGACUCUAAGAAAAGACUUAGAGUACUUAGAUCUAACGGAGGACAUGACACAAAACCGAGCGCAAUGGCGUUCUAGGAUUCAUAUAGCCGACCCCACUUAGUGGGAAAAGGCUUUGUUGUUGUUGUUGUUGUUGUUGCAGUUGUUUAGGCCUGGACUGAAGAAGUUUUGUAGAAUGAGAUUCUUAUGAGUAGUCAAUUUUAGUGGGAUUGUUGUUUCAAUCUAGAUAAUGAAUGAUGUCGUUUCCCUAUUCGGUCUGUCCUUUGACAGUGUAGCAGAUCUGGAAUUUUGUGAAAUGCUCUUUAUUGAGAAUGAAGAGCCACAAAUUGAAGACGAAUAAAAAAAAUUUGCAUGUUCUGAUUAGAAAUAUAGAAUUGGUUUUAAAUUAUUUUCUUGACUGUUUGGUUCUGAUGUGCUUUACCGAUAAAUCAUGGGUUUGCAAGAUAUUUUUUGUUGUUUUCUCUUGCCGUUGACUGGGGAUGUGGGUGAUCCUGUUACCCUGUACACCGCAGUACAGGGCGGUAACAAGAUUAUCUAUUGUGCUACUGCACUCUCUAUAAUCAGCGGAGACCUCUAUAGGGCUGAUCAAGGAGGGGUCUACAAUCUUACCAAAGCAUUUCAGGUGUGGUCGUUAUUGCCAUAUCCUUGAAAUGCUCCUUUUUUACAUUUAGUAAUCUGUUUCGGUUUUGAUGUCUUUUAAGUUCUUGGGUUUGUUCAAUGUUGGAUUUGAAUUUUACCCUUCGAGAGUCGCUUAUGUGAAGCUUUUGACUGUUUGCAUUGCAGGACUAUAACAACAAAAUGGCGCAAUUACGAGCAGGAAAGAGUGGCAAGAGCAAACUUACAAUUGUAAAGUUCAAGACUCUGGAGUCAGUGGAUGGAUGGGAAGUUCGUCAGGGGACUUAUUUUCAGGAUGUGGUUGCUUCCAAGUAUGAUGGAGGAAUGGAUGCCAAGUUCGAAUUCACUUCACCAGAGAUGCUGUUUUCUUUUACUCUAUUUCUUGCUGCAUUGUAGGAUAUGUUUUCACCACGGGAGGGUAUAUUGAGCUGUCUGAAAAGCUUUCACUUCCUUUGGGUCAAACCCUCGACCGGUAUAUGCCAUAUUUGCAUUCUCAAAUGGAGCUACUAAGCUAAAAGCAGCUUCCCAAAAUAAAAUUCAUGGUAUUUUUCUUAUUAUUAUUUUCUUAGAAUUUGAACACAAAAUGAAUUCAUUUAAUAGAAAAUCAUUUGCAACAGAAAUUACCUGAUGAAUUUGCUGCACAGCUACGACAUUCUAACAACAUUUAGUCAAUUUGAGAAGCAAGCUGUGCAAGUUAAGUUGCAUUCUGUUUACUUAAUUUUCUGUGUUUUUUCUUUUGCUGUUUGGAUUUAGGAGCUAAAACAUUCGUCUUUUGCAAUGUUUUUAGGUGGAUGAUGCUAUCUGGGCUGCUGAAAAAGCCACAUUUAAAGCUGAGAUGAGUGGAAAGAAGCUAAUGCACUCAUGGAACAACUUCAGACAUUUCAAGCGUGGCUUUGGGAUUCUGCAACAGUCCCGGGUUUGAGGAUUACAUAAAAAGAGGGCUGGAACCCAGCUAGUCGAAGCUGGGGGGCUAGGCCCUCACGCCCAUAAUAUAUUACUUGAAAAAAAAGACAUACAACGGGAGGGACAUAAUACUUAAACCCCAAUGAUAAAAAAGCAAAAUCAUAUACAACCACUCUAAGCAAUCAACAUGGGCAUCACAUAUUGAAUCCAAAAGGUUGACGCCCCAUAUAAUUGAAAAUAAGGAAAUUAAAGAGACUAAAAAAGAAUAAUUGAAGUUGGUGGGUGAGAAAGCAAAAGUGUGGACGACGAAAUCUUUGAUCCAUAUGGUAUGUCAUCUGAAAAGAAAAAUAAAAUGCUGGUGACAAUGAAUGAAGAAUUGAAAGUAAGAAACGAGAUUGGCAUGUAUUUCAGAGUUUAUACUGAAUUAGGCUAGUGUAAAUUGAAAUAAGUUAGAAAACGCACCUUAACGAAUGUCAAUGUGUGGGAUGUGUGCAAUCUUAGGCCAGUCCUCACCUGUUUCUUUCCGGCACCUUGCGCUUAAAAUGGGGCAACAAAGAAUGUGCAAUGUAGAAAGACAGGGGAGUGCACGAGUCCCUUCUGGCAGUGAAGUUAGAUUAGGACACCAGUUGAUAUACAACGUAGAAAGACAGGGAAAAGAAGGGAACGACAUAUUUUCCGUUGAUGAAGAAGAAGAAGCACUGUUUUGAGUGUGCGCCCUCCACCAUCCCUUCAGAACAGGGCAAUGUGCUAUGGAGAGCUGCUCCAGGGAGGGAAAGAGUGAGAUCCUCAUCAUCUCAUCACUCAUACUAUUACUGCUCUCUUUCUCUGAUAUGUACUCCAACUUCUCCAAACAUCGAAGUUCAAGGGACUUAAGGGAAGGCAAAUGAUCCAAGGGUGGAAGAUGUUGGCAUCUCUCACAUCCAUUCAAUCUGAGAUUAACAAUAUUAAUGAGAGAAGAAACCCAACUCGCAAACCUCACACCACCAUAUAAGUUUAUGGACAACUGCUUUAGAUUAGAAUGGGGUUGCAAUACUUCCAUUGACUUUAUAAUAUCCUCCUCAUCAACUGCGCUUACAUCUUCUCCAAGUUUCCAGGAUAAAUCCAACGAAUGGAGAUGCUGUUUGUCCUUGAGAGGUGUACCAACAUUUGAUUCUGACACCACAUCUUUCUCCUGCCUCAAAUUGCUUAUGACUAAUUUUCCCCUUAAUUCGUUAAGGGUCCCCAGCUCAGCAAGACCAGCACUACCGCCCCUCCCCAAACAAUUGCUUUCGCUCAAAACAAAUCUAUUCAAUGUACGAACACCUUUCAAUUCACCAAUUCCACGUGGCAUUCCACUCAAUCCCCAACAGCCUUCCAAGAUGAGAUGCCUUAAGUUGAACAUUUUUUUAAUGUCUCUAGGCAAUUCCACAAGACUCUGACACCAACUGAGAUCUAGUGUUUCCAAAUUCGAAAGUCCAACUAUCCAACCUGGAAGUUUAUUGAUGCCAGAAUUACGACUAAGAUCAAGAUAUCUCAAAUAUUUCAUUUUUCUAAGACAUUUAGGUACUCCUUUAAUUCCUAAUUUACUGAGACUCAAUAUACGCAAUGACUUAAAAUUUGAAACAAUUAUAGCACAAAAUGAAUCACAUAAUGACCCAUCUAUAUCACUCAACUCAUUCUGGCAAAGAAAAAGAAAAGUUCGUAUCUUUUUUGCUUUUGGCAACGAAGUUGGCACUUCCCAUUCUGACGGAUCGACUUGAAAAUUGAAAGAUACAUGACGAAGCUUUUCAUGAAAAUUCUUUUGGUCUGGUUCAACUACGACGCUUCCAAUCCCCGACACUAAGAUUGCAAGUUCAUUCAUGAGAUCAUGCAUUUUACAACUUCUUAUUAUACCAAACUCAUCUUUUUCUUCUUCUUGAAAAAACGAUCUCCACAACAACUCCCUGUAAUAUUCAUACGCAACAUCCUCCAAACCCUUGUUUUCAUCGGAUGACUUAAUGAACCCUUGCGCCACCCAAAGUCUAAUCAAUCUCUGCACAAAGAUCUUAUAAUCAGGUGGGAACAAGCUACAAUAAGCAAAACAAUGCUUCAAAUGUGAUGGGAGCACAUCAUAACUCAAUUUAAGUGUUGGUAAAAUAUCAUUUUCUUCUUGACUUAUUUUUGAAAGUUCCUUUUCUUUGAAAUUCAACCAAUCACUUUCGUCAUCUUUGGCAAACAACAUCCCACCUAUCGUCCUUAUAGCAAGUGGAACUCCCUGACAUUUUCUUGCAACCUCUUUCGCAACUGCCUUAAUUGUUGAAUUCUCUGUCUCCUUUCCAUCUUUAUAAGCCAUUUUCUUAAAUAAAGACCAACUUUGCUCUUCAUUCAAACCCUUUAAGGUGUAUGAUUUAGCUGUGUCUGAUAUCGUCGCAACGGUUUUACUACGAGUGGUUAUUAGUAUUCUACUACCUUCUCCACCACCCAUUAACAAGUUCUUCAAGCUAAGCCACUUCUCUCGAUCCUCAUUCCACACAUCAUCCAACACAAGUAGGUACUUCUUCCUAGCUACUUUUUUCCUAAGAUCUUUUUGCAACUGCUCAAUCUCGUCAUGAUUUUUGGAUUGAAGGAUUUUCUUAACAACUAUAUCCAACUCAAAUGCAUUAGAGACGCAUGUCCAUAUUUUCAACUCAAAAUGAUUUUGAAUCACCUUAUUGUUGAAUAUGAGUUGGGCAAGUGCAGUUUUCCCCAAUCCCCCAAUUCCAACUAUGGAAAUGGUUGACACAUUCUUAGUUGAGAUAGGAUCCAACAAAAGUUGGAUAAUAGCCUUAGUAUCUUCAUCCCUCCCUACAAUAUUUUCCUCAGGGACAAAUGAGUGAGUGACCCUCUCUCUCUUUAUAAAUCGUGUAUCUUCAUGGUUGUCUUUUAAGUCACUGGGUCUACGAGAUGCAACCUCACUAAUCCUCUUGUUAAUGUUUUUUAUCUUGUGACCCAUCUUUAGCCCAAACACAAGUUGAUUUGAGUUAGAAAAGAAAAGGUGCACCUAUAAGAAUUUGAGUAGACAUAAUCAUUAUUUUGAUAGAAGGAUAUUAAUUAAGUUAAUAGAGUUUUGUAAUAGUAGGUUAUAUGAAACAUUCAAAAUAAUAAUGUAGAAGACUUCCUGCAAUUAAUUAUGAGUUAUUUAGAGAUCUAUUGUAUUCCUAAUAGGUGGAUAUCAAUAGGCUUAUGUGACUAUGAAAAGGUUAUACGUGAUUUAACCGCACAAAGCCUCUAAUAUCUUUUUAGUCAAAUGACUUUGGAUGUGAUUCCUAGUCACCAAUAGUGUUUGACAGAAACCUUGUUAGCUUUUUUUUUUCUUUCUUUUUUUAAUCAAAAUCAUUGACUUUGUACAUCUCAUUAUAUUGAUAUUAAUGUAUUUCCAUGUCAACUAUCUAUUUUUGAAAUUCCUUAAUUUAUGGACUUCAAACUUUAUAAUAAACUAUUCCCUUAAAAGAGUAUAAAAGAAACAAUAAAUAGUAAAAUUUGAAACCAACAAAACAUUAAUCUACUAAUAAUCAAGCGAGUACCUUCUAAACACAUAAAAAAAAUGUUUACAUAUAAUUGGAUUCUCAUAGACACGAAUCCAAAACAAGAAUUGCAAAAUCAUACAUAUAUACAUAUAUAUAUAUAUAUAUGGGUACAUUUUGCAUAGAAAUGUAUCCAUGAGACUAAAAAAUGCAUUCAACUCAUAUAUCAUAUAUGGGUACAUUCUAAACUCAUAAAAAACAAUAAAUGCUGCUAAAUCCACCCCAUUAUCUUAUUUUUCUACUCACUUUUUAGUGGAAGUGUUAAUUACAUAUUUAUUCUUUUAUAAAAAGACUUUUAGAGCAUCUACAAAAGAUAUGUCAAAUAUAGUAUGUUAAAAUUUUAUUUGAUGGCUGAUGUGGCAAAUUGAAUACAAGUGUUAAAUCUUCUUAUUUUACAAUGGAUGUGUCAAAUAUUUAUUUUAUUAUUUUAUUGUGCCUAGAAUUACAUUAACUACUAAAAAAUAAUCAAAAUUAGUUUUAAUUUGUAUUAUAUUGGUUGUUAAUGAGAUUCAUGCAUUAAAAAAAAUAUUAAAUAUAUUUGACUCCUUCUUUAUUUGCUGUUAAAAAAGGCAGCUAGAAAGCAAAAAGUCAAAUGACUCACAUGUCAUAUCAUAUAUGAUAUAUCUAUUGAAGAACACUUGAAUAUCUUUUAAUCCUAUUUGACAUAUUUAACAUUUCUUUUGAAGAUGGUCUUAGACCCUUAUUUAUAAAUUCAUUAUAAUUUUUUUUUUUAAGAAAAGAGAACAAAAGGCCAAACAACCAAAGCCCACCAUACAUCCCGACUUACACAACCCCUCUCCUUACCGCCGCCGCCAAAACCCCCCAUUUUCCAGGCGCUAUCUCUCACCUGCACCAGUAUACCAUAUCCAGAUCUAAGAAACCUCCCAAGGCGCCAAACCCACUCACACCCAUCAAACAAAGAUAUCAAUUCCUCUCAACUACAGAUCUAGGAAAGCAGUAUACAUGAACUUGGAUGGAGAAGUGUGAGAGAGUAGGUCUUUCUCUCAACACAGACUCAUAGUCUCUCUCUUUCUCUCUCAAGUAAACCUUUCACAAUAGGUAGAUUAUGGAUAUGGGUGGAGAGGUGAAGAGAGAGAAAUGGAGGUUUUACCGUCCGGACGGGAUACGUCAAGAGAUUGGGUGGAUCGGUGGUAAAGGAAAAGUGGAGAAAAAGAGUGGCUUUUUUUUUUCUUUGAAGUUUUCAUUUGAAGAGCGAGACAAUGUUUCUUUCUUUGUUGGAUAUUUCCCAGACGUUAUUUUAGAAAUAAAGUGAGUGAAAAAAUAAUAUUUUAAUUUUUUACGCUUUUUAAGAUAGAUGAGAUUAUAAUAUGAGUAAAAAAAUAUGACAAUAAAGAGAGUCUAGCAGCAUUCAAAACAAUUGCAAUUGUACCUAUUACAUAUAUACGGAAGGUAUAAUUGUAGUGUUUUUAUUUUUGGACAAAGGAAGGUAUAAUUGUAGUUACUUGUCAAAAGAAAGUACCCAUACAAUUGCCAUAUAUAAUUAUGGUACAAUUCCUGCAUCCUCCCAAAAGUAAAUUGUUUUCAUGUGUGCACCCCAAAGUUUUUUUUUUAUAAAAAAAUGUACCCGUAUAAUUAGACACAAAUUUCAAAAGAAUGUACCCAUUUAGAUUUAUAAAAAAAAAAAAGAAAAAAAAAGGAGGGCAUCCAUAAGCGUUCUAGCAAAUAAAAUGGACCCAUGAUUAUUAAUAAAGAUUGAUAAAUUCAGUCAAACGAAAAAUGAGAUGAAACUAUUGGAACGUAUAAAAAUUCAUAUUUUAGUUUCAAAUUAAAGGGAUGUUAGGGAUAUCUAGCUGCAAUAAAAUCCCUUAAAUGAUGUAAAUGAUCAAUUAUCCUAAACAGAAAUGAUAUAAAAGGAAAUGUUUAAAUAAAAAGAAAAGGAAAAUCUGACAUGGAAUUUAAUUAAUUUUAAAAAUUUGAUAUGGACAUAAGUCAAAGGCCUUCAAACAAAAAUUUAAAACUAAAAAUGUUUCAUCAAUAAACAUUAGUGACUUGGGAUCAGACUUAAUUAUCCCCAUUUUUUAUUUUAUGACGCAUCUUUAACCCAGUAACAAGUUCAUUUGAGCUAGAAAAAAAGGGCGUAAAUGUAAGAAUUUGGGUAGACACCAUCAUUAGGUCAAUAGAAUUGUAUUAAUUAAGUUAAUAGAAUUUUGUAAUGCUAAGUUAUAUGAAACAUUCAAAACAAUAAUGUUGGGGAUUUAUUACAAUUAAUUAUGAGUUAUUAAGAAACCUAUUGUAUUCCUGAUAAGUGGAUAUCAAUAGGCUUAUGUGACUACAGAAAGGCUCUACGAGAUGCAUCCUCACCAAGCUUCUUGUUAGUAUCUUUUAUCUUAUGAUCCAUCUUUAGUCCAAAAGCAAGUUGAUUUGAGUAAGUUAGAGAAGAAGAGGCGUACCUUUUUUGACACCUUUGUAUUUUCUGGCACCAUUUGUCUUUGUUGAGCUUUAGUAUUAAACUCAUCCAGCACAUCAUCGGCUUCAUAGACUGCAUCUUCUACGCUUUGGAGCCACAAUUUGACUUCAUUGUUGGCUUGCUUUUGCUCAGCGUCAAGAAGAACAGCUUGGAAUGCUACAACUGUCUCCUUAAGCUUCUGGAACUCAUCUUGGACACCCCAGAUCAAUCCAAUCUCUUGGAAAGCAAGGGAGCCUAGCCUUCCGAUGAUCCCUUCUGCAAUGUUGAAGAGAACUCCUUCCGCCAUUUCUUGUAUUCAGGACAAGCAAAAACACAAGUGAAGUGAAUUAAGGUAGAAACCUAUAACUGAGAAUAUGGUUUUGCGUAGUACUAGAUAGCUCGUCCCUGCUCGUCUUUAUAUGCCCACUCAUCCAACCACUCAUACGUUAUUCCAUGAAUAAAUUAAAAACAAAGACUUGUCACCAAUUCACUAAUGCCAACCUGGUCCUUAACGUUUAGUUGCAUUUUUAAACCCAUCUGCAAUUUUAUCAGUUGGUGAAACACAAUUAUAAAUGGACCAAAACUAAAUAUACGCCACCAAUAUAUAUUGAAUUAAUUGCACUCUUGUCCGACUACCCAUACACCAUUCCAUACAUAAAAUAAAAACAAAGCCUUGUAGCAAUAUCACUAACGCCAGCUUGCUUCUUAACUUUAUGUUGUAUUUUUAAAAUCCACUUGUAAUUUUAUGGUUUUGCGUCGUGAAAGAUGCCCCUCCUGAUGGUCUUUAAUCUCUGUAUGCCCUUCUCUCAUCCAGCCAUUCACACAUUUUGACCGAUGGUUUGGUUCCACUGGUUAAUAUAUUAAAGGAAACUUUAACAAAAAGUUUUCGAUACUAUUUAUUUUAACAAAAAAUCAUAUUUUUACUAUAAAAAGUCAAUCCUGGUACUAUGUAUUUUACCCUUUAUUUUGUUCUUAUCAUUAAAACUUAAAAUUUUCAAAUAAUUUUUAUUAGUUUUCCUUAUAUUAAAUCCAUUUGCAAUUUUGUUGGUAACUCUUGUACUAAUUUAUUUAUGGAAAAAUUAGGUUCUCAUCCUUCAUUUUGCUACUUCAUUGAUUAAAAUCAUAUUCCUUUUCAAAUUUUUAUCAAGGUCCUUUGGUAUUAAUAACAUCAUUAAUUAUUUUAAUAAUAAAAUAUUUUUUUAUUUCUAAAUAUAUUCAUUUAAUUUUAAAAAUGUUACAAUUAGUAUAUUUAUAUUUAUGACUUAAUUUUUUAUCAUAUAUUUUUAGUUUUAGUUUGUACCCAUUUUUAAUUUGUAAUUCUUUUUUAAUUUGUAUCAAUUUUCUUUUCAAUUUUAAUUUGUACCAAUAUAUAUAUAUAUAUUUUUUUUGUGCCCAUAUUUUUUAAAGUUUAUUUGUAUUUGUACCCAUAUAUUUUUUUAUUUGUACUUUUUAUUUUGCUAAAUGUACACAUGCUAAUUAUAUGUACCCAUUCAUGUAAAACUUUUUAAUCUUAAAAUGUACUUAUUCUUAAAUAUACCAAUUUGUUAUAUUUAAAAUGUACCCUUUUUUUUUUAUAUAAAAUCUAUUCAAUUUUUUUCUAAUCCAUUUUUAAACUUAUAUGGGUACAUUCUUUUUUUCUUUGAUUUUAAAUGUAUCCAUGUCAAGUUUAAUCGAAGAAGUUUACUAAUGUUAUUAAGCUAUUAUCUUCUUCUUCUUUUUUGUGAUUUUGAAGAAUGUACCCAUGUUUUGAUACAAUAAUUUUUUUGGUUAAAUUUGAUGAAUGUACCCAUGUUUAUAUAUACACACACACAAUAGUAUAUUUAUAUUUUAAUAUUUUUAAUCCCACAAAUUAUGGUUUUUUAUUUAAAAUCUCAUUUAUAUAAACAACUAAAAUUUCUAAUUUUUAAUUUAAAAAAUAUAGUAACGUACAUAGAAAUAAAUUAUCACAUUAAUUUCAGGGACUUCGAUCAAAAAUUAAAAAUCAACAAGAUUUCAAUAAAAGAAUAUUCAUAGCUAAGGACCGCAUCCAAAGUCUCCCUUUAUUUAUUCAUCCAUCCUCACAAAUUAAUAAAUUAUAGCCGUUGGUUCGGUUCCCCUCCUUUUAUUUCCCUCUACUUUUGUGUUCCCACGCCAUCACGUGGCCACCCCUUAAAUCCGGCUCUCCCCACAGGAUUUAGAGAGAUUUUUCAAUGUGACCGGUAUAUGGGAUGAUACAUCACGUGUCACUAUAUAAAUAGUGGGAUAUGUGUGCUAAAAAGUUAAUAACUUAUAAAAUAAAAUUUCGCACCACUUCUAUUGAAAUACAUGUUAUACCACUUGUAUUCCUAUCAUAAUUAAAAAUUUCUAUAAUAUUUGGAUCCAAAUUCCUCCCCACAUGUUCUCUCCCACACACCCGGCCCACACUCUACCAUAUUAAUAUACCCGCCAUUUGCUCAUUUGUACACCCAGCUAUGCACGUUUCACACUCGGCACUUCCAAACACUCACACAUGAUUUCAUGUAUAAAAUAAAAACAAAGACGUGUCAAUAUGCUAUUGCAUGAGAGAUUUUUCAAUGUGACUAUCACAUGAGGUGGUACAUCAUGUGUUCCUAUAUAAAUGAUGGAAUAUGUAUGUUAAAAGAUUAAUAACUUAAAAAUUAAAUUUUUUUACCAUUUACAUAAAAACACAUGAUAUACCAUCUGUGUUCCCAUCACAACUAAAAAUUUCUCUUAUUUGCUAGUCUUAAUAAUUCAAAUUUGAUUUUUAAUACCAGCUGGUCCUUCACACUUCUUAACUUUUCGGCAGGCUGCUGCACGUUCCUUAUUUUUGGGCAAACCGCUGCACGUUUUUUUUUUUAAUUUUUGGGCAGACCGCUGCACGUUUUUUUUAAAAAAAAAUUUGGGCAGGCCGCUGCACGUUGUUUUUUUAUUUUUGGCAGACCUCUGCACGUUUCUACUAUUUUGUCAAGUAUCUUUAUCUUAUAAGAUGUAAGAUGGAAGAUUGAGAUUGUUUUGAUAGAAGUAUGAAGAUUGCCAAAACUAUGUAAAGUUAGGACACUAGUAGCACGUUUAUUAAUCCGUAAUCAGAUUGAGAGGAAUUGAAUUGAAAAUGAAUUGGAUUGAUGAGAAAUUAUAAUGAGGUGUAAUCAGAAUUAGAUUCUUGUUGAAGUUGUUUACCAAAACUGUCUGAAAUCGGAGUAGGAAUGACAUUGAUGCAUAUAAAUUAUUUACUAAUUCACAUGAAUCAGAAUGAUAACUAAUGUGAUUCCUAAAGUACCCCUACUUAAACUAAUUUAUUGUAUAUGCUAAUUAUUUUUAGUAAAACUUUUAUUCUUUUAUUUUUUUUUUAAUUUUUUACUAGAGAGAAUAAUUUUUUAUCUUUUAUAAAACUUUUAAAUUUUCCUAAUCGCAUAGAUUACUUCCAAAUUUGAUAUGAAAGAAUAGUUUUUUAUUUGCUUCUAACUCUUAAUCACCCUAAACCCUAUUAGAAAUAGGGAACUUUAAUGAAAAGUGUAGACAUCGAAAUUUCGGUAAAUAAAUGUUGACCGAUAAAUCAAAGUGUCAACGCUCAUGUAUUGCAUAAAUUUUACACGUAGCAUGUGACUCAACGAAAAUUGAAAUGAGUUUGAAAAGUCAUCAAAUAAGACACGUGUCAACACCUGGCAGAAACGACUUAUUUCAUCUGGGAUAUUAUAUUCAAAAUUAGGUCUUGGAAAAUUCUAUAAAUACAAGCCCAUUUCAUUCAUUUGGGGGGACCAAUUCAUUAGGCAAAACUCUUGAAGCUCUGAAGCUCUGAAACUCCGAAGCUCUCAAGUAUCCAGGUUCCCGAAGAAUCAAGAAAGCGUUAUUCGUUCAUCGUUCAUCCUAAGAUCAAGCCCCAACGGCCCUUUGGAUCAACAAUCAUCCACCAAUUCAAGAUCAAGCCCCGACGGCCCUUGAAGAAAGUGUUCUUCGUUCAUUGUUCUUCCAAGAUCAAGCCCCGACGGCCCUUGGAUCAACCAUCCACCAAUUCAAGAUCAAGCCCCGACGGCCCUUGAAGAAAGCACCAUCGUUCAUCAUCCGUUCAUCCAAGAUCAAGCCCCAACGGCCCUUUGGAUCAACAACGUCGACAAAUCCACACAUCCAACCGUUCUUCAAGAUCAAGCCCAAAAGCCCUUGAAGAUCCGUUCAUCACUGUUCUUCAAGAUCAAGCUCAAAAGCCCUUGGAGAUCCGUUCAUCACUGUUCUUCAAAGAUCAAGCCCAAAAGCCCCUUUGAAGAUCCGCUCAAAUCCACAUUCAAGAUCAAGUUCACGGCCCUUGAAGAACGUUCAUCCUUAGAUCAAGCCCAACGGCCCUUUGGAUCAAUCACACAUCCACAAAUACACACCUUACGGAGAUCGAAUCAGAGGAUCAAAUUUGAGAGAGAUUGUAACCCAAAAACAUCAUCAAAUACAUAAUAUUUGUUUGUGCACGUUCGUUCUUGUCUCUUUCGUUUCAGGAAUUUUCCUUGUUCACAAAUUGGCACGCCCGGUGGGAUAAUCUCUGCCUCUCAUCUCUUUCUCCGUUCAAGAAAUUCAAGCGCACUUCUAAAAUUAAUGGCAUCAAGGAAGGCUCAUAACUGUUCCCGCAACCGGCACAAAGAACAAAAACGUCCUCGUCGCAACUGGUGUCACUUUGGGCAUCACGACUCGAAGCAUGGCAAGAGCUACUUCUGCCGCCUCUUUCACCUCCGCAUCAACUCUGCCAAGGGAACAAAAGCACCCAAGACACGAGCCUUUGAUCACCUUAGCCUCACUAAGGGCACCAAGGGGGGAAAGCCCAAGGAAAUACUCCAAAUCCAUGCUCUCCGAUGCCGAUUCAAGCGACAGUUCAGCCAUGCAAGUCAUGACCAUUGGAGCAACUUCAAUCGAUGAGCAGCUGGCUCAAAUGAAUGAAGCAAUCGCAAGGCUAACCCGAACUGUGGAAGAAAAAGACUUGCAAAUUGCAGCACUAGUCAACCGAUUGGAGGCGCAAGACGGCGAUAAACCCGACCCAGAGGAUGAUCCACUAAAGGGAGGAGCUGGCGGAGACGAAGAACCCCCGGUGAAGAAAAUCGAUGGGAAGCCGGAGCCAGACCAAGCAGCGGCACUCAUGGGAUCUCUUUCUAUCCAGCAGCUGCAGGAGAUGAUCACCAACACCAUCAAGGCACAGUACGAAGGGAGCUCACAUACCUCAUUGUUCUACUCGAAGCCCUAUUCCAAGAAGAUUGAUGCCCUAAAGAUGCUAAGGGGUUAUCAACCACCAAAGUUCAUGCAGUUUGAUGGAAAAGGAAACCCAAAGCAGCAUGUUGCACAUUUCGUCGAAACUUGCAACAACGCAGGGACGGAGGGAGACUACCUCGCCAAGCAGUUUGUGCGCUCGUUGAAAGGAAAUGCCUUUGAGUGGUACACGGACCUAGAGCCUGAGUCCAUCAACAGCUGGGAGCAAUUAGAACGGGAAUUCCUCAACCGCUUCUCUACAGCACCCGCCGCACUGUGAGCAUGCUAGAGCUAACGAGCACAAAGCAGUGGAAGGACGAGCCAGUCAUUGACUACAUCAACAGAUGGCGCACUCUAAGCCUCGACUGUAAAGACAGGCUCUCGGAAACCUCUUCAAUCGAGAUGUGCAUCCAAGGCAUGCAAUGGGGUUUGCAAUACAUCCUUCAAGGCAUUAAACCGCGGACCUUCGAGGAAUUGGCCACUCGCGCCCAUGACAUGGAGUUGAGCAUCGCCCAUCAUGGGAAGAAAGAACCGAUCGCCGACUACAAGAACGACAAAGCUCUUGGGAUAAAGGUGGAAAAGGCUGCAUGGAAACCCACCAAGGAAGUGAUGACAGUCAACACAUCUCCCGUCAAAAUAUCCACACGAGGCAAGGCAAUUCAAGUCGAAGGCUUUCGUGAUCAAGAGAUGCGUAGACGCACUUUGAAGGAGCUCGAGGAGAAAACUUAUCCAUUCCCCGACUCUGAUGCGGUUGCCAUGUUAGAAGACUUGCUAGAAAAGAAGGUGAUCAGCUUGCCUGAGUGCAGAUGGCCAGAAGAAAUGAAUUGCACCGACAGUCCAAGGUACUGUAAAUUCCACCGCUUCAUCAGUCAUCCGACAGAAAAGUGUUUCGUGCUGAAAGAUCUCAUCAUGAAGCUAGCUCAGAAAGGAAUCAUCGAGCUAGAUCUUGACGAUGUGGGGGAGUCAAACUGUACCACCUUCACUUCUGACUCUUCCGACUCAAAGUUUUCACCUCAACCACUGGGGGCAUCCUCCAAGACAAGCAAAGUAGAAGGAUGGACUCAAGUCACUCCUAAGAAAUUGCACAAGAAGCAUACGUCUCCUCCACAUGUCCGCCAAUCGGAAAGGGGGCAAAGCAGCUCUCGUCAACCUUCAAAGCAACAUGAACGUGUUGAAGAUGAUGAAAUUUCGACACAUAGAUCGUCCAUCCCCAUCACGAUGCGUGAUUUCUUUCCUGAAGACUUCUUCAAUCACUCGGUCAAGGCUCCUUGCUAUGAAGAUUGUGAGGAACGCCUCUCCAAAAUUACUUGACAAAUUCACCAUGCUCCUUGUUCGCACGAGCCUAAACUGCACGAAUCAAAGCUCAUUGUCCACACGAGCCUAAACUGUAGGACACAAAGCUCCUUGUCCGCACGAGCCUAAACUCGUGCCUCGUGCCUGCUUGCCAUGUGUUCGAGUCAACCUUCAAGAAUCAAGCCUCAACGGCCCUUGAAGAAGCUUUCAGCCAAAUUCGAAAUCAAGCCUCGACGGCCCUUGAAGAAAUUCCAAACAAAAGUUCAAGAACAAGCCUCAACGGCCCUUGAAGAAAUCUCAAGCCCAAUUCAAGAUCAAGCCUCGACGGCCCUUGAAGAAAUUUCAAACAAAAGUUCAAGAACAAGCCUCAACGGCCCUUGAAGAAAUCUCAAGCCCAAUUCAAGAUCAAGCCUCAACGGCCCUUGAAGAAAUCUCCAGCCCAAUUCAAGAUCAAGCCUCGACGGCCCUUGGAUCGACAUCUACAGUAAGGGACUUCAAAACGCAUCUCCUACACGUGACAAUCACAUGUAUACGACGUGCUUUGAAGUGGGGGCAUUUGUAGACAUCGAAAUUUCGGUAAAUAAAUGUUGACCGAUAAAUCAAAGUGUCAACGCUCAUGUAUUGCAUAAAUUUUACACGUAGCAUGUGACUCAACGAAAAUUGAAAUGAGUUGGAAAAGUCAUCAAAUAAGACACGUGUCAACACCUGGCAGAAACGACUUAUUUCAUCUGGGAUAUUAUAUUCAAAAUUAGGUCUUGGAAAAUUCUAUAAAUACAAGCCCAUUUCAUUCAUUUGGGGGGACCAAUUCAUUAGGCAAAACUCUUGAAGCUCUGAAGCUCUGAAACUCCGAAGCUCUCAAGCAUCCAGGUUCCCGAAGAAUCAAGAAAGCGUUCUUCGUUCAUCGUUCAUCCUAAGAUCAAGCCCCAACGGCCCUUUGGAUCAACAAUCAUCCACCAAUUCAAGAUCAAGCCCCGACGGCCCUUGAAGAAAGUGUUCUUCGUUCAUUGUUCUUCCAAGAUCAAGCCCCGACGGCCCUUGGAUCAACCAUCCACCAAUUCAAGAUCAAGCCCCGACGGCCCUUGAAGAAAGCACCAUCGUUCAUCAUCCGUUCAUCCAAGAUCAAGCCUCAACGGCCCUUUGGAUCAACAACGUCGACAAAUCCACACAUCCAACCGUUCUUCAAGAUCAAGCCCAAAAGCCCUUGAAGAUCCGUUCAUCACUGUUCUUCAAGAUCAAGCCCAAAAGCCCUUGGAGAUCCGUUCAUCACUGUUCUUCAAAGAUCAAGCCCAAAAGCCCCUUUGAAGAUCCGCUCAAAUCCACAUUCAAGAUCAAGUCCACGGCCCUUGAAGAACGUUCAUCCUUAGAUCAAGCCCAACGGCCCUUUGGAUCAAUCACACAUCCACAAAUACACACCUUACGGAGAUCGAAUUAGAGGAUCAAAUUUGAGAGAGAUUGUAACCCAAAAACAUCAUCAAAUACAUAAUAUUUGUUUGUGCACGUUGUUCUUGUCUCUUUCGUUUCAGAAAUUUUCCUUGUUCACUGGUGAGGCUUAUGUUACUGCUAUGAUUGGUGAGGCUUAUGUUACUGUUGAUGGGUUCGGUUAACUGGGUUUUCAUUCCGUUUCAGAUUUGUUUCGACACACACUUACAGAAAUUUGCAGGAUGCUGUGGUGAUAUUUUCUAUGAUUUAAUCAAAUGAACUAUUUGAUGUCAGUAGUUUGAGGGCUCUGACCGCAACACACAGUAGCAGCAGCGAUGAGGGAGGAGAAGCGGCACCAAUUGAUGCAGAACCUAUUCGGUGAUCAAUCUGAAGAGGAAGAGGAAGAGGUCGACUCUGAGCAUGAGUCCAAUCCCCAGCCCGAUUCUGUAUGAUCCUCUAAUUUCAAGUUUCCUUUCUAUUCUGAUUCCAAAAGCAUGUUUGGGAAUGAUUAGGGUUUCAAUUUCUACUUUAAUCUUAGCUGAAGGAAGAUAUAGGUUGUCUUUUUUGUUAAUGGCGGUGGAUGAUUUGGAUGAAAGUAUGAAUCUUGGUAAUUUUUUUGCUUGCAGUUGUUUGGGCCUGGACUGAGGAAGUUUUGUGGAAUGAGAUUCUUAUGAUUAGUCAAUUUUAGUGGGAUUGUUGUUUCAAUCUGGAUAAUGAAUGAUGUCGUUUUCCUAUUCGGUCUGUCCUUUGACAGUGUAGCAGAUCUGGAAUUUUGUGAAAUGCUCUUUAUUGAGAAUGAAGUGCCACUAAUUCAAGACGAAUAAAAAAAAUUUGCACAUUUUCUGAUUAGAAAUAUAGAAUUGGUUUUAAAUUAUUUUCUUGACUGUUUGGUUCUGAUGUGCUUUACCGAUAAAUCAUGGGUUUGCAAGAUAUUUUUUGUUGUUUUCUCUUGCCGUUGACUGGGGAUGUGGGUGAUCCUGUUACCCUGUACACCGCAGUACAGGGCGGUAACAAGAUUAUCUAUUGUGCUACUGCACUCUCUAUAAUCAGCGGAGACCUCUAUAGGGCUGAUCAAGGAGGGGUCUACAAUCUUACCAAAGCAUUUCAGGUGUGGUCGUUAUUGCCAUAUCCUUGAAAUGCUCCUUUUUGACAUUUAGUAAUCUGUUUCGGUUUUGAUGUCCUUUAAAUGAUUGGGUUGGUUCAAUGUUGGAUUUGAAUUUUACCCUUCGAGAGUUGCUUAUGUGAAGCUUUUGACUGUUUGCAUUGCAGGACUAUAACAACAAAAUGGCGCAAUUACGAGCAGGAAAGAGUAGCAAGAGCAAACUUACAAUUGUAAAGUUCAAGACUCUGGAGUCAGUGGAUGGAUGGGAAGUUCGUCAGGGGACUUACUUUGGGUCGGACCCUCGACCGGUAAAUGCCUGUGUGCAAAGGAUUGUCAUGGCAGCGAGAUCAUGUCGCUCUGGGAAGCUCUUUUGACGGCCGCCGUUGUUGGAGGUCAGUCUCUUCCUCUGCUUCCACUCCACUCCAUUCAUUUUAAUUUUAAUUUUUUGUUUAUAGAGAGAGGACUUAGAAAAACAAAAAAUAUAUUUAUUUUUGUAAUGGUUGUCAUGAAUUUCCUUUUGACUAAACAAAACAUAAUCAGUUUAUUUGCUUUACUGAGAAUGUAGCGUUUAUUGUGAUUAAUUUCGGGUUUUGGAGCUGAUAUGAGUUCCGAGCCGUAUCCAGAGUAGAUUUUGGGGUUGCUUGGGUCUAAGAAUAUUCGGUUACUCUAGCGCAUUGACGAUUAAUAGACGUAAUUCUUUUUACCGUUGUUUGUGUAUAAGUAUGCGACUUAUAUGGUAUAACGUGACAAAGGUUGUUUCUCUUCCAAUACAUCAACAUAUAUUAAAAAGAAAUAUUUAAAGAGGGCUGGAACCCAGUCGAAGCUGGGGGGCUAGGCCCUCACGCCCAUAAUAUUUUACUUGAAAAAAAGAUAUAAAUGGGGGACAUAGUACCUAAACCCCGACGAUCAAAAGCAAAAUUGUAUACAACCACUCCAAGUAGUCGCAUCACAUGUUGAAUUCAAAAGGUUGACGCCUCAUAUAAUUGAAAAGAAGGAAAUUAAAGAGAAACUAAAAAAAAUAAAAAAUAUUGAAGUUGGUGGGUGGGAAAGCAAAAGUGCCGACAACGAAAUCUUUGAUCCACACGGUAUGUUAUCUGAAAAGAAAAAUAAAAUGCUGAUGAUGAUGAAUGAAGAAUUGAAAUUAAGAAAUGAGAUUGGCAUAUAUUUCGUAGUUUAUAUUGAAUUAGGCUAGUGUGAAUUGAAACAAGUUAGAAAACGCACCUUAAUAAUUGUGAAUGUCAAUGUGUGGGAUGUGAGCAAUCUUAGGCCAGUCCUCACCUGUUUCUUUCUUGCAUCUUUCGCUUAACAUGGGGCAUUUCUCAAUCACCAAUGUAUUUAAACAGGGGAGUCCACGAAUCCCUUCUGGCAGUGAUGCCAAAUUAGAGCAAUCCUUAAUUGUAAGCUUCUGAAGUGACGUCAGAUUGCUUAUUUCUUCUGGCAGUGAUCCCAAAUCCUCAAUUUCUUGGAGCCACAUAAAUGUUAAUUUGGAGAGAUGAGGGGAAGAAGAAGCGGCAGAAACAUCAACACCAACAUCAUGUGGAAUAUCAGAUGCUCCUCUAACAAACAAGGAUUCAACAACCUUCCAGCUGCUCCCCUUGAGAAGUAUUCUCUCCACAUUUGGAUACAGAGGCAUGGAAGUUAGAUUAGGACAAUUCCGGAUGGUCAAUGCAGAAAGAGAGGGAAAAGAAGGCAACGACAGUAUUUCCGUUGAUGAAGAAGAAGAAGCAGUGUUAUGAGUGUGGGCCCUCCACCAUCCCUUCAGAACAGGGCAAUCUGCUAUGUAGAGCUCCUCCAGGGAGGGAAAGAAUGAGAUCCUCAUCAUCUCAUCACUCAUACUAUUACUGCUCUCUUUCUCUGAUAGUAAUAUGUACUCCAACUUCUCCAACCCUUCAAGUUCCAGUUUCUUAAGGGAAGGCAAAUGAUCCAAGGGUGGAAGAUGUUGGCAUAUGUUACAACUCUGCAAUUCGAGAUUAACAAUAUUAAUGAGAGAAGAAAACCAACUCGCAAACCUCACACCACCAUAAUACGACACGGUCAACUGCUUUAGAUUAGAAUGGGGUUGCAAUACUUCCAUUGACUUUAUAAUAUCCUCCUCAUCAACUGCCUUUACAUCUUCUAUCUCUUUCCACCUUAAAUCCAAGGAAUGGAGAUGCUGUUUGUCCUUGAGAGGUGUACCAACAUUUGAUUCUGACACCACAUCUUUCUCGUGACUCAAAUUUUCAAUUUCCAAGUCUCCCCUUAAUUCCUUAAGGCUUCCCAGCUCAGCAAGACCAGCACUACCGCCCCUCUCCAAACAAUUGCUUUCGCUCAAAACAAAUCUAUUCAAUGUACGAACACCAUUCAAUUCACCAAUUCCACGUGGCAUUGCACUCAAAAUCUCACACUUAUCCAAGAUGAGAUGCCUUAAGUUGAUCAUUUUUUUAAUGUCUCUAGGCAAUUCCACAAGAUUCCAACACCCUGUGAGAUCUAGUGUUUCCAAAUUCGAAAGUCCAACUAUCCAAUCUGGAAGUCUCUCCAUGUGAUUCCUACUAAGAUCAAGAUAUCUCAAAUGUUUCAUUUUUCUAAGACAAUUAGGUAAUGUUGUAAUUUCUAAUUCAUUGAAACUUAACAUCCGUAAUGACUUAAAAUUUGAAACAAUUGUAGUACAAAGUGCAUUACAUGGGGAACUUAGGUAACCAUCCCAAAAAUCUUGCUGAAGAAAAAGAAAAGUUCGUAUCCUGUUUGCCUUUAGCAAGGACGUUGGCACUUCCCAUUUCGACAAAUUAAUCUCAUAAUUGAAAGAUACGUGAAGAAGCUUUUCAUGAAAGUUCUUUUGGUUCAGAUCAACUACGGCGCUUCCAACCCCUGACACAAAUAUUGCAAGUUCAUUCAUGAGAUCGUGCAUUUUACAACUUUCUAUUAUACCAAACUCAUCUUUUUCUUCUUCUUGAAAAAACAAUCUCCACAACAACUCCCUGUAAUAUUCAUACGCAACAUCCUCCAAACCCUUGUUUUCAUCGGAUGACUUAAUGAACCCUUGCGCCACCCAAAGUCUAAUCAAUCUCUGUACAGAGAUCUUAUAAUCAGGUGGGAACAAGCUACAAUAAGCAAAACAAUGCUUUAGAUGUGAUGGGAGCACAUCAUAACUUAGUUUAAGUGUUGGUAAAAUAUCAUUUUCUUUCUGACUUAUUUUUGAAAGUUUAUUUUCUUUGAAAUUCAACCAUUCUGUUUCGUUAUGCUUGGUGCGCAGCAUCCCACCUAUCGUCCUUAUAGCAAGUGGAACUCCUUGACAUUUUUUUGCAACCUCCUCCCCAACCGCCUUAAUUGUUGGAUUAUGUGGCUCUUUUCCUUCUUUAAAAGCCAUUUUCCUAAAUAAAGACCAACUUUGCUCUUCAUUCAAACCCCUUUAAGGUGUAUGAUUUAGCUGUGUCUGAUGUUGUUGCAACGGUUUCACUACGAGUGGUAAUCAGUAUUCUACUACCUUCUCCACCACCCAUUAACAAGUCCUUCAAGCUAAGCCACUUCUCUCGAUCCUCAUUCCACACGUCAUCCAACACAAGUAGGUACUUCUUCCCAUCUACUUUUUUUCUAAGAUCAUUUUGCAAUUGCUCUAUCCCAUUAUGCUUGGAUUGAAGGAUUUUCUUAACAACUAUAUCCAACUCAAAUACAUUAGAGACACAUGUCCAUAUUUUCAACUCAAAAUGAUUUUGAAUCACCUCAUCGUUGAAUAUGAGUUGGGCAAGUGCAGUUUUCCCCAAUCCUCCAAUUCCAACCAUGGAAAUGGUUGACACAUUCUCAGUUGAGAUGGGAUCCAACAAAAGCUGGAUAAUUGUCUUAGUAUCUUCAUCUCUCCCUAUAAUAUUUUCCUUAGGUACAAAUGAGUGUGUGACCCUCUCUCUCUUUACAAAUCGUGUAUCUUCAUGAUUUACUUCUAAGUGAAAGAUUCUACGAGAUGCAACCUCACUAAGCCUCCUGUUAAUAUCUUUUAUCUUAUGACCCAUCUUUAGCCCAAAAACAAGUUGAUUUGAGCUAGAAAAGAAAAGGCGCACCUGUAAGAAUUUGAAUAGACAUAAUCAUUAUUGCGAAAGAACUGUAUUAAUUAAGUUAAUAGAGUUUUGUAACGUUAAGUUAUAUGUAACAUUCAAAAUAAUAACAUAGACAACUUAUUGCAGUUAAUUGAGAGACCUAUUGUAUUCCUAAUAGGUGGAUAUCUAUAGGCUAAUGUGACUAUGAAAAGGUUCUAUGAGAUGCAACCUCACCAAACCUCUUGUUAAUAUCAUCUUAAGACCCAUCUUUUAGCCCAAAAGCAAGUUGAUUUGAGCGAGAGAAAGAAGAGGCAUACCUUUUUUGACAGCUUUGUAUUUUCAGGCACCAUUUUUCUCUGUUGAUUUUUAGUAUUAAACUCAUCCAACACGUCAUCGGCUUCAUAAAUUGCGUCUUCUACGCUUUGGAGCCACAGUUUGACUUCAUUGUUGGCUUGCUUUUGCUCAGCGUCAAGAAGAAUAGCUUGGAAUCCAGCAACUGUCUCCUUGAGCUUCUGGAACUCAUCUUGGACACCCCAAAUCAAUCCGAUCUCUUGGAAAGCUAGGGAGCCUAGCCUCUCAAUGAUCCCUCCUGCAACGUUGAAGAGAACUCCUUCCGCCAUUUCUUAGAUUCAAGACAAGAAAAAACACAAUGAAGCGAAUUAAAGUAGAAACUUAUAACUGAGAAUAUG